UGGGCAUAGUGUGUCUUUGAAGCCACUAUGUUUUCUGCACUUGUGACUAGAGAGCACCUUGAUAGCUCAGUUGUUAGAGCGGUGGACUGUAAGAUCCUCCUUGUGUGAAACGCUGUGAUCCUAAGGUCGCUGGUUCAACUCCACCUCCAAGCACCUCCUUGUCAUUGGAAAUACCCCCAAGCCUUGUCUUUAUCUGUCAACUCCUCCAAAAUGUCAAAACACAAACAAGAUAACUCUUUCUUAAAUUUUCAACCAUCAAUUUUUUAUUCACCCAGACUAAAAGUCCUGAUUAUCAGUUCUGGGUCCCUGGCAAUGACUGUUGGGUACAAACUGCAAAGCUUUGUUCUGCAGGUAGGGCUGGGCUUUUCAUUGACCAUGGGUUGGAAUAGUUCUGUGGGCAUAGUGUGUCUUCGAAGCCACUAUGUUUUCUGCACUUGUGACUAGAGAGCACCUUGAUAGCUCAGUUGGUAGAGCGGUGGACUGUAAGAUGCUCCUUGUGUGAAACGCCGUGAUCCUAAGCUCGCUGGUUCAACUCCAGCUCCAAGCACCUCCUUGUCAUUGGAAAUACCCCCAAGCCUUGUCUUUAUCUGUCAACUCCUCCAAAAUGUCAAAACACAAAGAAGAUAACUCUUUCUUAAAUUUUCAACCAUCAAUUUUUUAUUCACUCAGCCUAAAAGUCCUGAUUAUCAGUUCUGGGUCCCUGGCAAUGACUGUUGGGUACAAACUGCAAAGCUUUGUUCUGCAGGUAGGGCUGGGCUUUUCAUUGACCAUGGGUUGGAAUAGUUCUGUGGGCAUAGUGUGUCUUCGAAGCCACUAUGUUUUCUGCACUUGUGACUAGAGAGCACCUUGAUAGCUCAGUUGGUAGAGCGGUGGACUGUAAGAUGCUCCUUGUGUGAAACGCUGUGAUCCUAAGGUCGCUGGUUCAACUCCAGCUCCAAGCACCUCCUUGUCAUUGGAAAUACCCCCAAGCCUUGUCUUUAUCUGUCAACUCCUCCAAAAUGUCAAAACACAAAGAAGAUAACUCUUUCUUAAAUUUUCAACCAUCAAUUUUUUAUUCACCCAGACUAAAAGUCCUGAUUAUCAGUUCUGGGUCCCUGGCAAUGACUGUUGGGUACAAACUGCAAAGCUUUGUUCUGCAGGUAGGGCUGGGCUUUUCAUUGACCAUGGGUUGGAAUAGUUCUGUGGGCAUAGUGUGUCUUCGAAGCCACUAUGUUUUCUGCACUUGUGACUAGAGAGCACCUUGAUAGCUCAGUUGGUAGAGCGGUGGACUGUAAGAUGCUCCUUGUGUGAAACGCUGUGAUCCUAAGGUCGCUGGUUCAACUCCAGCUCCAAGCACCUCCUUGUCAUUGGAAAUACCCCCAAGCCUUGUCUUUAUCUGUCAACUCCUCCAAAAUGUCAAAACACAAAGAAGAUAACUCUUUCUUAAAUUUUCAACCAUUAAUUUUUUAUUCGCCCAGCCUAAAAGUCCUGAUUAUCAGUUCUGGGUCCCUGGCAAUGACUGUUGGGUACAAACUGCAAAGCUUUGUUCUGCAGGUAGGGCUGGGCUUUUCAUUGACCAUGGGUUGGAAUAGUUCUGUGGGCAUAGUGUGUCUUCGAAGCCACUAUGUUUUCUGCACUUGUGACUAGAGAGCACCUUGAUAGCUCAGUUGGUAGAGCGGUGGACUGUAAGAUGCUCCUUGUGUGAAACGCUGUGAUCCUAAGGUCGCUGGUUCAACUCCAGCUCCAAGCACCUCCUUGUCAUUGGAAAUACCCCCAAGCCUUGUCUUUAUCUGUCAACUCCUCCAAAAUGUCAAAACACAAAGAAGAUAACUCUUUCUUAAAUUUUCAACCAUCAAUUUUUUAUUCACUCAGCCUAAAAGUCCUGAUUAUCAGUUCUGGGUCCCUGGCAAUGACUGUUGGGUACAAACUGCAAAGCUUUGUUCUGCAGGUAGGGCUGGGCUUUUCAUUGACCAUGGGUUGGAAUAGUUCUGUGGGCAUAGUGUGUCUUCGAAGCCACUAUGUUUUCUGCACUUGUGACUAGAGAGCACCUUGAUAGCUCAGUUGGUAGAGCGGUGGACUGUAAGAUCCUCCUUGUGAGAAACGCUGUGAUCCUAAGGUCGCUGGUUCAACUCCAGCUCCAAGCACCUCCUUGUCAUUGGAAAUACCCCCAAGCCUUGUUUUUAUCUGUCAACUCCUCCAAAAUGUCAAAACACAAACAAGAUAACUCUUUCUUAAAUUUUCAACCAUCAAUUUUUUAUUCACCCAGCCUAAAAGUCCUGAUUAUCAGUUCUGGGUCCCUGGCAAUGACUGUUGGGUACAAACUGCAAAGCUUUGUUCUGCAGGUAGGGCUGGGCUUUUCAUUGACCAUGGGUUGGAAUAGUUCUGUGGGCAUAGUGUGUCUUCGAAGCCACUAUGUUUUCUGCACUUGUGACUAGAGAGCACCUUGAUAGCUCAGUUGGUAGAGCGGUGGCCUGUAAGAUGCUCCUUGUGUGAAACGCCGUGAUCCUAAGGUCGCUGGUUCAACUCCAGCUCCAAGCACCUCCUUGUCAUUGGAAAUACCCCCAAGCCUUGUCUUUAUCUGUCAACUCCUCCAAAAUGUCAAAACACAAACAAGAUAACUCUUUCUUAAAUUUUCAACCAUCAAUUUUUUAUUCACUCAGCCUAAAAGUCCUGAUUAUCAGUUCUGGGUCCCUGGCAAUGACUGUUGGGUACAAACUGCAAAGCUUUGUUCUGCAGGUAGGGCUGGGCUUUUCAUUGACCAUGGGUUGGAAUAGUUCUGUGGGCAUAGUGUGUCUUCGAAGCCACUAUGUUUUCUGCACUUGUGACUAGAGAGCACCUUGAUAGCUCAGUUGGUAGAGCGGUUGACUGUAAGAUGCUCCUUGUGUGAAACGCUGUGAUCCUAAGGUCGCUGGUUCAACUCCAGCUCCAAGCACCUCCUUGUCAUUGGAAAUACCCCCAAGCCUUGUCUUUAUCUGUCAACUCCUCCAAAAUGUCAAAACACAAAGAAGAUAACUCUUUCUUAAAUUUUCAACCAUCAAUUUUUUAUUCACUCAGCCUAAAAGUCCUGAUUAUCAGUUCUGGGUCCCUGGCAAUGACUGUUGGGUACAAACUGCAAAGCUUUGUUCUGCAGGUAGGGCUGGGCUUUUCAUUGACCAUGGGUUGGAAUAGUUCUGUGGGCAUAGUGUGUCUUCGAAGCCACUAUGUUUUCUGCACUUGUGACUAGAUAGCACCUUGAUAGCUCAGUUGGUAGAGCGGUGGACUGUAAGAUGCUCCUUGUGUGAAACGCUGUGAUCCUAAGGUCGCUGGUUCAACUCCAGCUCCAAGCACCUCCUUGUCAUUGGAAAUACCCCCAAGCCUUGUCUUUAUCUGUCAACUCCUCCAAAAUGUCAAAACACAAACAAGAUAACUCUUUCUUAAAUUUUCAACCAUCAAUUUUUUAUUCACCCAGCCUAAAAGUCCUGAUUAUCAGUUCUGGGUCCCUGGCAAUGACUGUUGGGUACAAACUGCAAAGCUUUGUUCUGCAGGUAGGGCUGGGCUUUUCAUUGACCAUGGGUUGGAAUAGUUCUGUGGGCAUAGUGUGUCUUCGAAGCCACUAUGUUUUCUGCACUUGUGACUAGAGAGCACCUUGAUAGCUCAGUUGGUAGAGCGGUGGCCUGUAAGAUGCUCCUUGUGUGAAACGCCGUGAUCCUAAGGUCGCUGGUUCAACUCCAGCUCCAAGCACCUCCUUGUCAUUGGAAAUACCCCCAAGCCUUGUCUUUAUCUGUCAACUCCUCCAAAAUGUCAAAACACAAACAAGAUAACUCUUUCUUAAAUUUUCAACCAUCAAUUUUUUAUUCACCCAGCCUAAAAGUCCUGAUUAUCAGUUCUGGGUCCCUGGCAAUGACUGUUGGGUACAAACUGCAAAGCUUUGUUCUGCAGGUAGGGCUGGGCUUUUCAUUGACCAUGGGUUGGAAUAGUUCUGUGGGCAAAGUGUGUCUUCGAAGCCACUAUGUUUUCUGCACUUGUGACUAGAGAGCACCUUGAUAGCUCAGUUGGUAGAGCGGUGGACUGUAAGAUCCUCCUUGUGUGAAACGCCGUGAUCCUAAGGUCGCUGGUUCAACUCCAGCUCCAAGCACCUCCUUGUCAUUGGAAAUACCCCCAAGCCUUGUCUUUAUCUGUCAACUCCUCCAAAAUGUCAAAACACAAACAAGAUAACUCUUUCUUAAAUUUUCAACCAUCAAUUUUUUAUUCACCCAGCCUAAAAGUCCUGAUUAUCAGUUCUGGGUCCCUGGCAAUGACUGUUGGGUACAAACUGCAAAGCUUUGUUCUGCAGGUAGGGCUGGGCUUUUCAUUGACCAUGGGUUGGAAUAGUUCUGUGGGCAUAGUGUGUCUUUGAAGCCACUAUGUUUUCUGCACUUGUGACUAGAGAGCACCUUGAUAGCUCAGUUGUUAGAGCGGUGGACUGUAAGAUCCUCCUUGUGUGAAACGCUGUGAUCCUAAGGUCGCUGGUUCAACUCCACCUCCAAGCACCUCCUUGUCAUUGGAAAUACCCCCAAGCCUUGUCUUUAUCUGUCAACUCCUCCAAAAUGUCAAAACACAAACAAGAUAACUCUUUCUUAAAUUUUCAACCAUCAAUGUUUUAUUCACCCAGCCUAAAAGUCCUGAUUAUCAGUUCUGGGUCCCUGGCAAUGACUGUUGGGUACAAACUGCAAAGCUUUGUUCUGCAGGUAGGGCUGGGCUUUUCAUUGACCAUGGGUUGGAAUAGUUCUGUGGGCAUAGUGUGUCUUCGAAGCCACUAUGUUUUCUGCACUUGUGACUAGAGAGCACCUUGAUAGCUCAGUUGGUAGAGCGGUGGACUGUAAGAUGCUCCUUGUGUGAAACGCCGUGAUCCUAAGGUCGCUGGUUCAACUCCAGCUCCAAGCACCUCCUUGUCAUUGGAAAUACCCCCAAGCCUUGUCUUUAUCUGUCAACUCCUCCAAAAUGUCAAAACACAAAGAAGAUAACUCUUUCUUAAAUUUUCAACCAUCAAUUUUUUAUUCACUCAGCCUAAAAGUCCUGAUUAUCAGUUCUGGGUCCCUGGCAAUGACUGUUGGGUACAAACUGCAAAGCUUUGUUCUGCAGGUAGGGCUGGGCUUUUCAUUGACCAUGGGUUGGAAUAGUUCUGUGGGCAUAGUGUGUCUUCGAAGCCACUAUGUUUUCUGCACUUGUGACUAGAGAGCACCUUGAUAGCUCAGUUGGUAGAGCGGUGGACUGUAAGAUGCUCCUUGUGUGAAACGCUGUGAUCCUAAGGUCGCUGGUUCAACUCCAGCUCCAAGCACCUCCUUGUCAUUGGAAAUACCCCCAAGCCUUGUCUUUAUCUGUCAACUCCUCCAAAAUGUCAAAACACAAAGAAGAUAACUCUUUCUUAAAUUUUCAACCAUUAAUUUUUUAUUCGCCCAGCCUAAAAGUCCUGAUUAUCAGUUCUGGGUCCCUGGCAAUGACUGUUGGGUACAAACUGCAAAGCUUUGUUCUGCAGGUAGGGCUGGGCUUUUCAUUGACCAUGGGUUGGAAUAGUUCUGUGGGCAUAGUGUGUCUUCGAAGCCACUAUGUUUUCUGCACUUGUGACUAGAGAGCACCUUGAUAGCUCAGUUGGUAGAGCGGUGGACUGUAAGAUGCUCCUUGUGUGAAACGCUGUGAUCCUAAGGUCGCUGGUUCAACUCCAGCUCCAAGCACCUCCUUGUCAUUGGAAAUACCCCCAAGCCUUGUCUUUAUCUGUCAACUCCUCCAAAAUGUCAAAACACAAACAAGAUAACUCUUUCUUAAAUUUUCAACCAUCAAUUUUUUAUUCACUCAGCCUAAAAGUCCUGAUUAUCAGUUCUGGGUCCCUGGCAAUGACUGUUGGGUACAAACUGCAAAGCUUUGUUCUGCAGGUAGGGCUGGGCUUUUCAUUGACCAUGGGUUGGAAUAGUUCUGUGGGCAUAGUGUGUCUUCGAAGCCACUAUGUUUUCUGCACUUGUGACUAGAGAGCACCUUGAUAGCUCAGUUGGUAGAGCGGUGGACUGUAAGAUGCUCCUUGUGUGAAACGCUGUGAUCUUAAGGUCGCUGGUUCAACUCCAGCUCCAAGCACCUCCUUGUCAUUGGAAAUACCCCCAAGCCUUGUCUUUAUCUGUCAACUCCUCCAAAAUGUCAAAACACAAAGAAGAUAACUCUUUCUUAAAUUUUCAACCAUUAAUUUUUUAUUCGCCCAGCCUAAAAGUCCUGAUUAUCAGUUCUGGGUCCCUGGCAAUGACUGUUGGGUACAAACUGCAAAGCUUUGUUCUGCAGGUAGGGCUGGGCUUUUCAUUGACCAUGGGUUGGAAUAGUUCUGUGGGCAUAGUGUGUCUUCGAAGCCACUAUGUUUUCUGCACUUGUGACUAGAGAGCACCUUGAUAGCUCAGUUGGUAGAGCGGUGGACUGUAAGAUGCUCCUUGUGUGAAACGCUGUGAUCCUAAGGUCGCUGGUUCAACUCCAGCUCCAAGCACCUCCUUGUCAUUGGAAAUACCCCCAAGCCUUGUCUUUAUCUGUCAACUCCUCCAAAAUGUCAAAACACAAACAAGAUAACUCUUUCUUAAAUUUUCAACCAUCAAUUUUUUAUUCACUCAGCCUAAAAGUCCUGAUUAUCAGUUCUGGGUCCCUGGCAAUGACUGUUGGGUACAAACUGCAAAGCUUUGUUCUGCAGGUAGGGCUGGGCUUUUCAUUGACCAUGGGUUGGAAUAGUUCUGUGGGCAUAGUGUGUCUUCGAAGCCACUAUGUUUUCUGCACUUGUGACUAGAGAGCACCUUGAUAGCUCAGUUGGUAGAGCGGUGGACUGUAAGAUGCUCCUUGUGUGAAACGCUGUGAUCCUAAGGUCGCUGGUUCAACUCCAGCUCCAAGCACCUCCUUGUCAUUGGAAAUACCCCCAAGCCUUGUCUUUAUCUGUCAACUCCUCCAAAAUGUCAAAACACAAAGAAGAUAACUCUUUCUUAAAUUUUCAACCAUCAAUUUUUUAUUCACUCAGCCUAAAAGUCCUGAUUAUCAGUUCUGGGUCCCUGGCAAUGACUGUUGGGUACAAACUGCAAAGCUUUGUUCUGCAGGUAGGGCUGGGCUUUUCAUUGACCAUGGGUUGGAAUAGUUCUGUGGGCAUAGUGUGUCUUCGAAGCCACUAUGUUUUCUGCACUUGUGACUAGAGAGCACCUUGAUAGCUCAGUUGGUAGAGCGGUGGACUGUAAGAUGCUCCUUGUGUGAAACGCUGUGAUCCUAAGGUCGCUGGUUCAACUCCAGCUCCAAGCACCUCCUUGUCAUUGGAAAUACCCCCAAGCCUUGUCUUUAUCUGUCAACUCCUCCAAAAUGUCGAAACACAAACAAGAUAACUCUUUCUUAAAUUUUCAACCAUCAAUUUUUUAUUCACCCAGCCUAAAAGUCCUGAUUAUCAGUUCUGGGUCCCUGGCAAUGACUGUUGGGUACAAACUGCAAAGCUUUGUUCUGCAGGUAGGGCUGGGCUUUUCAUUGACCAUGGGUUGGAAUAGUUCUGUGGGCAUAGUGUGUCUUCGAAGCCACUAUGUUUUCUGCACUUGUGACUAGAGAGCACCUUGAUAGCUCAGUUGGUAGAGCGGUGGACUGUAAGAUGCUCCUUGUGUGAAACGCUGUGAUCCUAAGGUCGCUGGUUCAACUCCAGCUCCAAGCACCUCCUUGUCAUUGGAAAUACCCCCAAGCCUUGUCUUUAUCUGUCAACUCCUCCAAAAUGUCAAAACACAAAGAAGAUAACUCUUUCUUAAAUUUUCAACCAUCAAUUUUUUAUUCACUCAGCCUAAAAGUCCUGAUUAUCAGUUCUGGGUCCCUGGCAAUGACUGUUGGGUACAAACUGCAAAGCUUUGUUCUGCAGGUAGGGCUGGGCUUUUCAUUGACCAUGGGUUGGAAUAGUUCUGUGGGCAUAGUGUGUCUUCGAAGCCACUAUGUUUUCUGCACUUGUGACUAGAGAGCACCUUGAUAGCUCAGUUGGUAGAGCGGUGGACUGUAAGAUGCUCCUUGUGAGAAACGCUGUGAUCCUAAGGUCGCUGGUUCAACUCCAGCUCCAAGCACCUCCUUGUCAUUGGAAAUACCCCCAAGCCUUGUCUUUAUCUGUCAACUCCUCCAAAAUGUCAAAACACAAACAAGAUAACUCUUUCUUAAAUUUUCAACCAUCAAUUUUUUAUUCACCCAGCCUAAAAGUCCUGAUUAUCAGUUCUGGGUCCCUGGCAAUGACUGUUGGGUACAAACUGCAAAGCUUUGUUCUGCAGGUAGGGCUGGGCUUUUCAUUGACCAUGGGUUGGAAUAGUUCUGUGGGCAUAGUGUGUCUUCGAAGCCACUAUGUUUUCUGCACUUGUGACUAGAGAGCACCUUGAUAGCUCAGUUGGUAGAGCGGUGGCCUGUAAGAUGCUCCUUGUGUGAAACGCCGUGAUCCUAAGGUCGCUGGUUCAACUCCAGCUCCAAGCACCUCCUUGUCAUUGGAAAUACCCCCAAGCCUUGUCUUUAUCUGUCAACUCCUCCAAAAUGUCAAAACACAAAGAAGAUAACUCUUUCUUAAAUUUUCAACCAUCAAUUUUUUAUUCACUCAGCCUAAAAGUCCUGAUUAUCAGUUCUGGGUCCCUGGCAAUGACUGUUGGGUACAAACUGCAAAGCUUUGUUCUGCAGGUAGGGCUGGGCUUUUCAUUGACCAUGGGUUGGAAUAGUUCUGUGGGCAUAGUGUGUCUUCGAAGCCACUAUGUUUUCUGCACUUGUGACUAGAGAGCACCUUGAUAGCUCAGUUGGUAGAGCGGUUGACUGUAAGAUGCUCCUUGUGUGAAACGCUGUGAUCCUAAGGUCGCUGGUUCAACUCCAGCUCCAAGCACCUCCUUGUCAUUGGAAAUACCCCCAAGCCUUGUCUUUAUCUGUCAACUCCUCCAAAAUGUCAAAACACAAAGAAGAUAACUCUUUCUUAAAUUUUCAACCAUCAAUUUUUUAUUCACUCAGCCUAAAAGUCCUGAUUAUCAGUUCUGGGUCCCUGGCAAUGACUGUUGGGUACAAACUGCAAAGCUUUGUUCUGCAGGUAGGGCUGGGCUUUUCAUUGACCAUGGGUUGGAAUAGUUCUGUGGGCAUAGUGUGUCUUCGAAGCCACUAUGUUUUCUGCACUUGUGACUAGAUAGCACCUUGAUAGCUCAGUUGGUAGAGCGGUGGACUGUAAGAUGCUCCUUGUGUGAAACGCUGUGAUCCUAAGGUCGCUGGUUCAACUCCAGCUCCAAGCACCUCCUUGUCAUUGGAAAUACCCCCAAGCCUUGUCUUUAUCUGUCAACUCCUCCAAAAUGUCAAAACACAAACAAGAUAACUCUUUCUUAAAUUUUCAACCAUCAAUUUUUUUAUUCACCCAGCCUAAAAGUCCUGAUUAUCAGUUCUGGGUCCCUGGCAAUGACUGUUGGGUACAAACUGCAAAGCUUUGUUCUGCAGGUAGGGCUGGGCUUUUCAUUGACCAUGGGUUGGAAUAGUUCUGUGGGCAUAGUGUGUCUUCGAAGCCACUAUGUUUUCUGCACUUGUGACUAGAGAGCACCUUGAUAGCUCAGUUGGUAGAGCGGUGGCCUGUAAGAUGCUCCUUGUGUGAAACGCCGUGAUCCUAAGGUCGCUGGUUCAACUCCAGCUCCAAGCACCUCCUUGUCAUUGGAAAUACCCCCAAGCCUUGUCUUUAUCUGUCAACUCCUCCAAAAUGUCAAAACACAAACAAGAUAACUCUUUCUUAAAUUUUCAACCAUCAAUUUUUUAUUCACCCAGCCUAAAAGUCCUGAUUAUCAGUUCUGGGUCCCUGGCAAUGACUGUUGGGUACAAACUGCAAAGCUUUGUUCUGCAGGUAGGGCUGGGCUUUUCAUUGACCAUGGGUUGGAAUAGUUCUGUGGGCAAAGUGUGUCUUCGAAGCCACUAUGUUUUCUGCACUUGUGACUAGAGAGCACCUUGAUAGCUCAGUUGGUAGAGCGGUGGACUGUAAGAUGCUCCUUGUGUGAAACGCCGUGAUCCUAAGGUCGCUGGUUCAACUCCAGCUCCAAGCACCUCCUUGUCAUUGGAAAUACCCCCAAGCCUUGUCUUUAUCUGUCAACUCCUCCAAAAUGUCAAAACACAAACAAGAUAACUCUUUCUUAAAUUUUCAACCAUCAAUUUUUUAUUCACCCAGCCUAAAAGUCCUGAUUAUCAGUUCUGGGUCCCUGGCAAUGACUGUUGGGUACAAACUGCAAAGCUUUGUUCUGCAGGUAGGGCUGGGCUUUUCAUUGACCAUGGGUUGGAAUAGUUCUGUGGGCAUAGUGUGUCUUUGAAGCCACUAUGUUUUCUGCACUUGUGACUAGAGAGCACCUUGAUAGCUCAGUUGUUAGAGCGGUGGACUGUAAGAUCCUCCUUGUGUGAAAAGCUGUGAUCCUAAGGUCGCUGGUUCAACUCCACCUCCAAGCACCUCCUUGUCAUUGGAAAUACCCCCAAGCCUUGUCUUUAUCUGUCAACUCCUCCAAAAUGUCAAAACACAAAGAAGAUAACUCUUUCUUAAAUUUUCAACCAUCAAUUUUUUAUUCACCCAGCCUAAAAGUCCUGAUUAUCAGUUCUGGGUCCCUGGCAAUGACUGUUGGGUACAAACUGCAAAGCUUUGUUCUGCAGGUAGGGCUGGGCUUUUCAUUGACCAUGGGUUGGAAUAGUUCUGUGGGCAAAGUGUGUCUUCGAAGCCACUAUGUUUUCUGCACUUGUGACUAGAGAGCACCUUGAUAGCUCAGUUGGUAGAGCGGUGGACUGUAAGAUGCUCCUUGUGUGAAACGCCGUGAUCCUAAGGUCGCUGGUUCAACUCCAGCUCCAAGCACCUCCUUGUCAUUGGAAAUACCCCCAAGCCUUGUCUUUAUCUGUCAACUCCUCCAAAAUGUCAAAACACAAACAAGAUAACUCUUUCUUAAAUUUUCAACCAUCAAUUUUUUAUUCACCCAGCCUAAAAGUCCUGAUUAUCAGUUCUGGGUCCCUGGCAAUGACUGUUGGGUACAAACUGCAAAUCUUUGUUCUGCAGGUAGGGCUGGGCUUUUCAUUGACCAUGGGUUGGAAUAGUGCUGUGGGCAUAGUGUGUCUUCGAAGCCACUAUGUUUUCUGCACUUGUGACUAGAGAGCACCUUGAUAGCUCAGUUGGUAGAGCGGUGGACUGUAAGAUGCUGCUUCUGUGAAACGCUGUGAUCCUAAGGUCGCUUGUUCAACUCCAGCUCCAAGCACCUCCUUGACAUUGGAAAUACCCCCAAGCCUUGUCUUUAUCUGUCAACUCCUCCAAAAUGUCAAAACACAAAGAAGAUAACUCUUUCUUAAAUUUUCAACCAUCAAUUUUUUAUUCACCCAGCAACUUGAUAGCUCAGUUGGUAGAGCGGUGGACUGUAAGAUGCUGCUUCUGUGAAACGCUGUGAUCCUAAGGGCGCUGGUUCAACUCCAGCUCCAAGCACCUCCUUGUCAUUGGAAAUACCCCCAAGCCUUGUCUUUAUCUGUCAACUCCUCCAAAAUGUCAAAACACAAAGAAGAUAACUCUUUCUUAAAUUUUCAACCAUCAAUUUUUUAUUCACCCAGCCUAAAAGUCCUGAUUAUCAGUUCUGGGUCCCUGGCAAUGACUGUUGGGUACAAACUGCAAAGCUUUGUUCUGCAGGUAGGGCUGGGCUUUUCAUUGACCAUGGGUUGGAAUAGUUCUGUGGGCAUAGUGUGUCUUCGAAGCCACUAUGUUUUCUGCACUUGUGACUAGAGAGCACCUUGAUAGCUCAGUUGGUAGAGCGGUGGACUGUAAGAUGCUCCUUGUGUGAAACGCCGUGAUCCUAAGGUCGCUGGUUCAACUCCAGCUCUCAAGCACCUCCUUGUCAUUGGAAAUACCCCCAAGCCUUGUCUUUAUCUGUCAACUCCUCCAAAAUGUCAAAACACAAAGAAGAUAACUCUUUCUUAAAUUUUCAACCAUCAAUUUUUUAUUCACCCAGCCUAAAAGUCCUGAUUAUCAGUUCUGGGUCCCUGGCAAUGACUGUUGGGUACAAACUGCAAAGCUUUGUUCUGCGGGUAGGGCUGGGCUUUUCAUUGACCAUGGGUUGGAAUAGUUCUGUGGGCAUAGUGUGUCUUCGAAGCCACUAUGUUUUCUGCACUUGUGACUAGAGAGCACCUUGAUAGCUCAGUUGGUAGAGCGGUGGACUGUAAGAUGCUCCUUGUGUGAAACGCUGUGAUCCUAAGGUCGCUGGUUCAACUCCAGCUCCAAGCACCUCCUUGUCAUUGGAAAUACCCCCAAGCCUUGUCUUUAUCUGUCAACUCCUCCAAAAUGUCAAAACACAAAGAAGAUAACUCUUUCUUAAAUUUUCAACCAUCAAUUUUUUAUUCACCCAGCCUAAAAGUCCUGAUUAUCAGUUCUGGGUCCCUGGCAAUGACUGUUGGGUACAAACUGCAAAGCUUUGUUCUGCAGGUAGGGCUGGGCUUUUCAUUGACCAUGGGUUGGAAUAGUUCUGUGGGCAUAGUGUGUCUUCGAAGCCACUAUGUUUUCUGCACUUGUGACUAGAGAGCACCUUGAUAGCUCAGUUGGUAGAGCGGUGGACUGUAAGAUGCUCCUUGUGUGAAACGCCGUGAUCCUAAGCUCGCUGGUUCAACUCCAGCUCCAAGCACCUCCUUGUCAUUGGAAAUACCCCCAAGCCUUGUCUUUAUCUGUCAACUCCUCCAAAAUGUCAAAACACAAAGAAGAUAACUCUUUCUUAAAUUUUCAACCAUCAAUUUUUUAUUCACUCAGCCUAAAAGUCCUGAUUAUCAGUUCUGGGUCCCUGGCAAUGACUGUUGGGUACAAACUGCAAAGCUUUGUUCUGCAGGUAGGGCUGGGCUUUUCAUUGACCAUGGGUUGGAAUAGUUCUGUGGGCAUAGUGUGUCUUCGAAGCCACUAUGUUUUCUGCACUUGUGACUAGAGAGCACCUUGAUAGCUCAGUUGGUAGAGCGGUGGACUGUAAGAUGCUCCUUGUGUGAAACGCCGUGAUCCUAAGCUCGCUGGUUCAACUCCAGCUCCAAGCACCUCCUUGUCAUUGGAAAUACCCCCAAGCCUUGUCUUUAUCUGUCAACUCCUCCAAAAUGUCAAAACACAAAGAAGAUAACUCUUUCUUAAAUUUUCAACCAUCAAUUUUUUAUUCACCCAGCCUAAAAGUCCUGAAUAUCAGUUCUGGGUCCCUGGCAAUGACUGUUGGGUACAAACUGCAAAGCUUUGUUCUGCAGGUAGGGCUGGGCUUUUCAUUGACCAUGGGUUGGAAUAGUUCUGUGGGCAUAGUGUGUCUUCGAAGCCACUAUGUUUUCUGCACUUGUGACUAGAGAGCACCUUGAUAGCUCAGUUGGAAGAGAGGUGGACUGUAAGAUGCUCCUUGUGUGAAACGCCGUGAUCCUAAGGUCGCUGGUUCAACUCCAGCUCCAAGCACCUCCUUGUCAUUGGAAAUACCCCCAAGCCUUGUCUUUAUCUGUCAACUCCUCCAAAAUGUCAAAACACAAACAAGAUAACUCUUUCUUAAAUUUUCAACCAUCAAUUUUUUAUUCACUCAGCCUAAAAGUCCUGAUUAUCAGUUCUGGGUCCCUGGCAAUGACUGUUGGGUACAAACUGCAAAGCUUUGUUCUGCAGGUAGGGCUGGGCUUUUCAUUGACCAUGGGUUGGAAUAGUUCUGUGGGCAUAGUGUGUCUUCGAAGCCACUAUGUUUUCUGCACUUGUGACUAGAGAGCACCUUGAUAGCUCAGUUGGUAGAGCGGUGGACUGUAAGAUGCUCCUUGUGUGAAACGCUGUGAUCCUAAGGUCGCUGGUUCAACUCCAGCUCCAAGCACCUCCUUGUCAUUGGAAAUACCCCCAAGCCUUGUCUUUAUCUGUCAACUCCUCCAAAAUGUCAAAACACAAAGAAGAUAACUCUUUCUUAAAUUUUCAACCAUCAAUUUUUUAUUCACCCAGACUAAAAGUCCUGAUUAUCAGUUCUGGGUCCCUGGCAAUGACUGUUGGGUACAAACUGCAAAGCUUUGUUCUGCAGGUAGGGCUGGGCUUUUCAUUGACCAUGGGUUGGAAUAGUUCUGUGGGCAUAGUGUGUCUUCGAAGCCACUAUGUUUUCUGCACUUGUGACUAGAGAGCACCUUGAUAGCUCAGUUGGAAGAGAGGUGGACUGUAAGAUGCUCCUUGUGUGAAACGCCGUGAUCCUAAGGUCGCUGGUUCAACUCCAGCUCCAAGCACCUCCUUGUCAUUGGAAAUACCCCCAAGCCUUGUCUUUAUCUGUCAACUCCUCCAAAAUGUCAAAACACAAACAAGAUAACUCUUUCUUAAAUUUUCAACCAUCAAUUUUUUAUUCACUCAGCCUAAAAGUCCUGAUUAUCAGUUCUGGGUCCCUGGCAAUGACUGUUGGGUACAAACUGCAAAGCUUUGUUCUGCAGGUAGGGCUGGGCUUUUCAUUGACCAUGGGUUGGAAUAGUUCUGUGGGCAUAGUGUGUCUUCGAAGCCACUCUGUUUUCUGCACUUGUGACUAGAGAGCACCUUGAUAGCUCAGUUGGUAGAGCGGUGGACUGUAAGAUGCUCCUUGUGUGAAACGCUGUGAUCCUAAGGUCGCUGGUUCAACUCCAGCUCCAAGCACCUCCUUGUCAUUGGAAAUACCCCCAAGCCUUGUCUUUAUCUGUCAACUCCUCCAAAAUGUCAAAACACAAAGAAGAUAACUCUUUCUUAAAUUUUCAACCAUUAAUUUUUUAUUCGCCCAGCCUAAAAGUCCUGAUUAUCAGUUCUGGGUCCCUGGCAAUGACUGUUGGGUACAAACUGCAAAGCUUUGUUCUGCAGGUAGGGCUGGGCUUUUCAUUGACCAUGGGUUGGAAUAGUUCUGUGGGCAUAGUGUGUCUUCGAAGCCACUAUGUUUUCUGCACUUGUGACUAGAGAGCACCUUGAUAGCUCAGUUGGUAGAGCGGUGGACUGUAAGAUGCUCCUUGUGUGAAACGCCGUGAUCCUAAGGUCGCUGGUUCAACUCCAGCUCCAAGCACCUCCUUGUCAUUGGAAAUACCCCCAAGCCUUGUCUUUAUCUGUCAACUCCUCCAAAAUGUCAAAACACAAACAAGAUAACUCUUUCUUAAAUUUUCAACCAUCAAUUUUUUAUUCACUCAGCCUAAAAGUCCUGAUUAUCAGUUCUGGGUCCCUGGCAAUGACUGUUGGGUACAAACUGCAAAGCUUUGUUCUGCAGGUAGGGCUGGGCUUUUCAUUGACCAUGGGUUGGAAUAGUUCUGUGGGCAUAGUGUGUCUUCGAAGCCACUAUGUUUUCUGCACUUGUGACUAGAGAGCACCUUGAUAGCUCAGUUGGUAGAGCGGUGGACUGUAAGAUGCUCCUUGUGUGAAACGCUGUGAUCCUAAGGUCGCUGGUUCAACUCCAGCUCCAAGCACCUCCUUGUCAUUGGAAAUACCCCCAAGCCUUGUCUUUAUCUGUCAACUCCUCCAAAAUGUCAAAACACAAAGAAGAUAACUCUUUCUUAAAUUUUCAACCAUCAAUUUUUUAUUCACUCAGCCUAAAAGUCCUGAUUAUCAGUUCUGGGUCCCUGGCAAUGACUGUUGGGUACAAACUGCAAAGCUUUGUUCUGCAGGUAGGGCUGGGCUUUUCAUUGACCAUGGGUUGGAAUAGUUCUGUGGGCAUAGUGUGUCUUCGAAGCCACUAUGUUUUCUGCACUUGUGACUAGAGAGCACCUUGAUAGCUCAGUUGGUAGAGCGGUGGACUGUAAGAUGCUCCUUGUGUGAAACGCUGUGAUCCUAAGGUCGCUGGUUCAACUCCAGCUCCAAGCACCUCCUUGUCAUUGGAAAUACCCCCAAGCCUUGUCUUUAUCUGUCAACUCCUCCAAAAUGUCAAAACACAAACAAGAUAACUCUUUCUUAAAUUUUCAACCAUCAAUUUUUUAUUCACCCAGCCUAAAAGUCCUGAUUAUCAGUUCUGGGUCCCUGGCAAUGACUGUUGGGUACAAACUGCAAAGCUUUGUUCUGCAGGUAGGGCUGGGCUUUUCAUUGACCAUGGGUUGGAAUAGUUCUGUGGGCAUAGUGUGUCUUCGAAGCCACUAUGUUUUCUGCACUUGUGACUAGAGAGCACCUUGAUAGCUCAGUUGGUAGAGCGGUGGCCUGUAAGAUGCUCCUUGUGUGAAACGCUGUGAUCCUAAGGUCGCUGGUUCAACUCCAGCUCCAAGCACCUCCUUGUCAUUGGAAAUACCCCCAAGCCUUGUCUUUAUCUGUCAACUCCUCCAAAAUGUCAAAACACAAAGAAGAUAACUCUUUCUUAAAUUUUCAACCAUCAAUUUUUUAUUCACCCAGCCUAAAAGUCCUGAUUAUCAGUUCUGGGUCCCUGGCAAUGACUGUUGGGUACAAACUGCAAAGCUUUGUUCUGCAGGUAGGGCUGGGCUUUUCAUUGACCAUGGGUUGGAAUAGUUCUGUGGGCAAAGUGUGUCUUCGAAGCCACUAUGUUUUCUGCACUUGUGACUAGAGAGCACCUUGAUAGCUCAGUUGGUAGAGCGGUGGACUGUAAGAUGCUCCUUGUGUGGAACGCUGUGAUCCUAAGGUCGCUGGUUCAACUCCAGCUCCAAGCACCUCCUUGUCAUUGGAAAUACCCCCAAGCCUUGUCUUUAUCUGUCAACUCCUCCAAAAUGUCAAAACACAAACAAGAUAACUCUUUCUUAAAUUUUCAACCAUCAAUUUUUUAUUCACCCAGCCUAAAAGUCCUGAUUAUCAGUUCUGGGUCCCUGGCAAUGACUGUUGGGUACAAACUGCAAAGCUUUGUUCUGCAGGUAGGGCUGGGCUUUUCAUUGACCAUGGGUUGGAAUAGUUCUGUGGGCAUAGUGUGUCUUUGAAGCCACUAUGUUUUCUGCACUUGUAACUAGAGAGCACCUUCAUAGCUCAGUUGGUAGAGCGGUGGCCUGUAAGAUGCUCCUUGUGUGAAACGCUGUGAUCCUAAGGUCGCUGGUUCAACUCCACCUCCAAGCACCUCCUUGUCAUUGGAAAUACCCCCAAGCCUUGUCUUUAUCUGUCAACUCCUCCAAAAUGUCAAAACACAAACAAGAUAACUCUUUCUUAAAUUUUCAACCAUCAAUUUUUUAUUCGCCCAGCCUAAAAGUCCUGAUUAUCAGUUCUGGGUCCCUGGCAAUGACUGUUGGGUACAAACUGCAAAGCUUUGUUCUGCAGGUAGGGCUGGGCUUUUCAUUGACCAUGGGUUGGAAUAGUUCUGUGGGCAUAGUGUGUCUUUGAAGCCACUAUGUUUUCUGCACUUGUGACUAGAGAGCACCUUGAUAGCUCAGUUGUUAGAGCGGUGGACUGUAAGAUCCUCCUUGUGUGAAACGCUGUGAUCCUAAGGUCGCUGGUUCAACUCCACCUCCAAGCACCUCCUUGUCAUUGGAAAUACCCCCAAGCCUUGUCUUUAUCUGUCAACUCCUCCAAAAUGUCAAAACACAAACAAGAUAACUCUUUCUUAAAUUUUCAACCAUCAAUUUUUUAUUCACCCAGACUUAAAGUCCUGAUUAUCAGUUCUGGGUCCCUGGCAAUGACUGUUGGGUACAAACUGCAAAGCUUUGUUCUGCAGGUAGGGCUGGGCUUUUCAUUGACCGUGGGUUGGAAUAGUUCUGUGGGCAUAGUGUGUCUUCGAAGCCACUAUGUUUUCUGCACUUGUGACUAGAGAGCACCUUGAUAGCUCAGUUGGUAGAGCGGUGGACUGUAAGAUGCUCCUUGUGUGGAACGCUGUGAUCCUAAGGUCGCUGGUUCAACUCCAGCUCCAAGCACCUCCUUUUCAUUGGAAAUACCCCCAAGCCUUGUCUUUAUCUGUCAACUCCUCCAAAAUGUCAAAACACAAACAAGAUAACUCUUUCUUAAAUUUUCAACCAUCAAUUUUUUAUUCGCCCAGACUAAAAGUCCUGAUUAUCAGUUCUGGGUCCCUGGCAAUGACUGUUGGGUACAAACUGCAAAGCUUUGUUCUGCAGGUAGGGCUGGGCUUUUCAUUGACCAUGGGUUGGAAUAGUUCUGUGGGCAUAGUGUGUCUUCGAAGCCACUAUGUUUUCUGCACUUGUGACUAGAGAGCACCUUGAUAGCUCAGUUGGUAGAGCGGUGGACUGUAAGAUGCUCCUUGUGUGAAAUGCUGUGAUCCUAAGUUCGCUUGUUCAACUCCAGCUCCAAGCACCUCCUUGUCAUUGGAAAUACCCCCAAGCCUUGUCUUUAUCUGUCAACUCCUCCAAAAUGUCAAAACACAAAGAAGAUAACUCUUUCUUAAAUUUUCAACCAUCAAUUUUUUAUUCACUCAGCCUAAAAGUCCUGAUUAUCAGUUCUGGGUCCCUGGCAAUGACUGUUGGGUACAAACUGCAAAGCUUUGUUCUGCAGGUAGGGCUGGGCUUUUCAUUGACCAUGGGUUGGAAUAGUUCUGUGGGCAUAGUGUGUCUUCGAAGCCACUAUGUUUUCUGCACUUGUGACUAGAGAGCACCUUGAUAGCUCAGUUGGUAGAGCGGUGGACUGUAAGAUGCUCCUUGUGUGAAACGCUGUGAUCCUAAGUUCGCUGGUUCAACUCCAGCUCCAAGCACCUCCUUGUCAUUGGAAAUACCCCCAAGCCUUGUCUUUAUCUGUCAACUCCUCCAAAAUGUCAAAACACAAACAAGAUAACUCUUUCUUAAAUUUUCAACCAUCAAUUUUUUAUUCACCCAGCCUAAAAGUCCUGAUUAUCAGUUCUGGGUCCCUGGCAAUGACUGUUGGGUACAAACUGCAAAGCUUUGUUCUGCAGGUAGGGCUGGGCUUUUCAUUGACCAUGGGUUGGAAUAGUUCUGUGGGCAUAGUGUGUCUUCGAAGCCACUAUGUUUUCUGCACUUGUGACUAGAGAGCACCUUGAUAGCUCAGUUGGUAGAGCGGUGGACUGUAAGAUGCUCCUUGUGUGAAAUGCUGUGAUCCUAAGGUCGCUGGUUCAACUCCAGCUCCAAGCACCUCCUUGUCAUAGGAAAUACCCCCAAGCCUUGUCUUUAUCUGUCAACUCCUCCAAAAUGUCAAAACACAAACAAGAUAACUCUUUCUUAAAUUUUCAACCAUCAAUGUUUUAUUCACCCAGCCUAAAAGUCCUGAUUAUCAGUUCUGGGUCCCUGGCAAUGACUGUUGGGUACAAACUGCAAAGCUUUGUUCUGCAGGUAGGGCUGGGCUUUUCAUUGACCAUGGGUUGGAAUAGUUCUGUGGGCAUAGUGUGUCUUCGAAGCCACUAUGUUUUCUGCACUUGUGACUAGAGAGCACCUUGAUAGCUCAGUUGGUAGAGCGGUGGACUGUAAGAUGCUCCUUGUGGGAAACGCCGUGAUCCUAAGGUCGCUGGUUCAACUCCAGCUCCAAGCACCUCCUUGUCAUUGGAAAUACCCCCAAGCCUUGUCUUUAUCUGUCAACUCCUCCAAAAUGUCAAAACACAAAGAAGAUAACUCUUUCUUAAAUUUUCAACCAUCAAUUUUUUAUUCACCCAGCCUAAAAGUCCUGAUUAUCAGUUCUGGGUCCCUGGCAAUGACUGUUGGGUACAAACUGCAAAGCUUUGUUCUGCAGGUAGGGCUGGGCUUUUCAUUGACCAUGGGUUGGAAUAGUGCUGUGGGCAUAGUGUGUCUUCGAAGCCACUAUGUUUUCUGCACUUGUGACUAGAGAGCACCUUGAUAGCUCAGUUGGUAGAGCGGUGGACUGUAAGAUGCUCCUUGUGUGAAACGCUGUGAUCCUAAGUUCGCUGGUUCAACUCCAGCUCCAAGCACCUCCUUGUCAUUGGAAAUACCCCCAAGCCUUGUCUUUAUCUGUCAACUCCUCCAAAAUGUCAAAACACAAAGAAGAUAACUCUUUCUUAAAUUUUCAACCAUCAAUGUUUUAUUCACCCAGCCUAAAAGUCCUGAUUAUCAGUUCUGGGUCCCUGGCAAUGACUGUUGGGUACAAACUGCAAAGCUUUGUUCUGCAGGUAGGGCUGGGCUUUUCAUUGACCAUGGGUUGGAAUAGUUCUGUGGGCAUAGUGUGUCUUCGAAGCCACUAUGUUUUCUGCACUUGUGACUACAGAGCACCUUGAUAGCUCAGUUGGUAGAGCGGUGGACUGUAAGAUGCUCCUUGUGUGAAAUGCUGUGAUCCUAAGGUCGCUGGUUCAACUCCAGCUCCAAGCACCUCCUUGUCAUUGGAAAUACCCCAAAGCCUUGUCUUUAUCUGUCAACUCCUCCAAAAUGUCAAAACACAAAGACGAUAACUCUUUCUUAAAUUUUCAACCAUCAAUUUUUUAUUCACCCAGCCUAAAAGUCCUGAUUAUCAGUUCUGGGUCCCUGGCAAUGACUGUUGGGUACAAACUGCAAAGCUUUGUUCUGCAGGUAGGGCUGGGCUUUUCAUUGACCAUGGGUUGGAAUAGUUCUGUGGGCAUAGUGUGUCUUUGAAGCCACUAUGUUUUCUGCACUUGUGACUACAGAGCACCUUGAUAGCUCAGUUGGUAGAGCGGUGGACUGUAAGAUGCUCCUUGUGUGAAACGCCGUGAUCCUAAGGUCGCUGGUUCAACUCCAGCUCCAAGCACCCCCUUGUCAUUGGAAAUACCCCCAAGCCUUGUCUUUAUCUGUCAACUCCUCCAAAAUGUCAAAACACAAAGAAGAUAACUCUUUCUUAAAUUUUCAACCAUCAAUUUUUUAUUCACCCAGCCUAAAAGUCCUGAUUAUCAGUUCUGGGUCCCUGGCAAUGACUGUUGGGUACAAACUGCAAAGCUUUGUUCUGCGGAUAGGGCUGGGCUUUUCAUUGACCAUGGGUUGGAAUAGUUCUGUGGGCAUAGUGUGUCUUCGAAGCCACUAUGUUUUCUGCACUUGUGACUAGAGAGCACCUUGAUAGCUCAGUUGGUAGAGCGGUGGACUGUAAGAUGCUCCUUGUGUCAAACGCUGUGAUCCUAAGGUCGCUGGUUCAACUCCAGCUCCAAGCACCUCCUUGUCAUUGGAAAUACCCCCAAGCCUUGUCUUUAUCUGUCAACUCCUCCAAAAUGUCAAAACACAAACAAGAUAACUCUUUCUUAAAUUUUCAACCAUCAAUUUUUUAUUCGCCCAGCCUAAAAGUCCUGAUUAUCAGUUCUGGGUCCCUGGCAAUGACUGUUGGGUACAAACUGCAAAGCUUUGUUCUGCAGGUAGGGCUGGGCUUUUCAUUGACCAUGGGUUGGAAUAGUUCUGUGGGCAUAGUGUGUCUUUGAAGCCACUAUGUUUUCUGCACUUGUGACUAGAGAGCACCUUGAUAGCUCAGUUGUUAGAGCGGUGGACUGUAAGAUCCUCCUUGUGUGAAACGCUGUGAUCCUAAGGUCGCUGGUUCAACUCCACCUCCAAGCACCUCCUUGUCAUUGGAAAUACCCCCAAGCCUUGUCUUUAUCUGUCAACUCCUCCAAAAUGUCAAAACACAAAGAAGAUAACUCUUUCUUAAAUUUUCAACCAUCAAUUUUUUAUUCACCCAGACUAAAAGUCCUGAUUAUCAGUUCUGGGUCCCUGGCAAUGACUGUUGGGUACAAACUGCAAAGCUUUGUUCUGCAGGUAGGGCUGGGCUUUUCAUUGACCAUGGGUUGGAAUAGUUCUGUGGGCAUAGUGUGUCUUCGAAGCCACUAUGUUUUCUGCACUUGUGACUAGAGAGCACCUUGAUAGCUCAGUUGGUAGAGCGGUGGACUGUAAGAUGCUCCUUGUGUGGAACGCUGUGAUCCUAAGGUCGCUGGUUCAACUCCAGCUCCAAGCACCUCCUUUUCAUUGGAAAUACCCCCAAGCCUUGUCUUUAUCUGUCAACUCCUCCAAAAUGUCAAAACACAAAGAAGAUAACUCUUUCUUAAAUUUUCAACCAUCAAUUUUUUAUUCGCCCAGACUAAAAGUCCUGAUUAUCAGUUCUGGGUCCCUGGCAAUGACUGUUGGGUACAAACUGCAAAGCUUUGUUCUGCAGGUAGGGCUGGGCUUUUCAUUGACCAUGGGUUGGAAUAGUUCUGUGGGCAUAGUGUGUCUUCGAAGCCACUAUGUUUUCUGCACUUGUGACUAGAGAGCACCUUGAUAGCUCAGUUGGUAGAGCGGUGGACUGUAAGAUGCUCCUUGUGUGAAAUGCUGUGAUCCUAAGGUCGCUGGUUCAACUCCAGCUCCAAGCACCUCCUUGUCAUUGGAAAUACCCCCAAGCCUUGUCUUUAUCUGUCAACUCCUCCAAAAUGUCAAAACACAAAGAAGAUAACUCUUUCUUAAAUUUUCAACCAUCAAUUUUUUAUUCACUCAGCCUAAAAGUCCUGAUUAUCAGUUCUGGGUCCCUGGCAAUGACUGUUGGGUACAAACUGCAAAGCUUUGUUCUGCAGGUAGGGCUGGGCUUUUCAUUGACCAUGGGUUGGAAUAGUUCUGUGGGCAUAGUGUGUCUUCGAAGCCACUAUGUUUUCUGCACUUGUGACUAGAGAGCACCUUGAUAGCUCAGUUGGUAGAGCGGUGGACUGUAAGAUGCUCCUUGUGUGAAACGCUGUGAUCCUAAGUUCGCUGGUUCAACUCCAGCUCCAAGCACCUCCUUGUCAUUGGAAAUACCCCCAAGCCUUGUCUUUAUCUGUCAACUCCUCCAAAAUGUCAAAACACAAACAAGAUAACUCUUUCUUAAAUUUUCAACCAUCAAUGUUUUAUUCACCCAGCCUAAAAGUCCUGAUUAUCAGUUCUGGGUCCCUGGCAAUGACUGUUGGGUACAAACUGCAAAGCUUUGUUCUGCAGGUAGGGCUGGGCUUUUCAUUGACCAUGGGUUGGAAUAGUUCUGUGGGCAUAGUGUGUCUUCGAAGCCACUAUGUUUUCUGCACUUGUGACUAGAGAGCACCUUGAUAGCUCAGUUGGUAGAGCGGUGGACUGUAAGAUGCUCCUUGUGGGAAACGCCGUGAUCCUAAGGUCGCUGGUUCAACUCCAGCUCCAAGCACCUCCUUGUCAUUGGAAAUACCCCCAAGCCUUGUCUUUAUCUGUCAACUCCUCCAAAAUGUCAAAACACAAAGAAGAUAACUCUUUCUUAAAUUUUCAACCAUCAAUUUUUUAUUCACCCAGCCUAAAAGUCCUGAUUAUCAGUUCUGGGUCCCUGGCAAUGACUGUUGGGUACAAACUGCAAAGCUUUGUUCUGCAGGUAGGGCUGGGCUUUUCAUUGACCAUGGGUUGGAAUAGUGCUGUGGGCAUAGUGUGUCUUCGAAGCCACUAUGUUUUCUGCACUUGUGACUAGAGAGCACCUUGAUAGCUCAGUUGGUAGAGCGGUGGACUGUAAGAUGCUCCUUGUGUGAAACGCUGUGAUCCUAAGUUCGCUGGUUCAACUCCAGCUCCAAGCACCUCCUUGUCAUUGGAAAUACCCCCAAGCCUUGUCUUUAUCUGUCAACUCCUCCAAAAUGUCAAAACACAAAGAAGAUAACUCUUUCUUAAAUUUUCAACCAUCAAUGUUUUAUUCACCCAGCCUAAAAGUCCUGAUUAUCAGUUCUGGGUCCCUGGCAAUGACUGUUGGGUACAAACUGCAAAGCUUUGUUCUGCAGGUAGGGCUGGGCUUUUCAUUGACCAUGGGUUGGAAUAGUUCUGUGGGCAUAGUGUGUCUUCGAAGCCACUAUGUUUUCUGCACUUGUGACUACAGAGCACCUUGAUAGCUCAGUUGGUAGAGCGGUGGACUGUAAGAUGCUCCUUGUGUGAAAUGCUGUGAUCCUAAGGUCGCUGGUUCAACUCCAGCUCCAAGCACCUCCUUGUCAUUGGAAAUACCCCAAAGCCUUGUCUUUAUCUGUCAACUCCUCCAAAAUGUCAAAACACAAAGACGAUAACUCUUUCUUAAAUUUUCAACCAUCAAUUUUUUAUUCACCCAGCCUAAAAGUCCUGAUUAUCAGUUCUGGGUCCCUGGCAAUGACUGUUGGGUACAAACUGCAAAGCUUUGUUCUGCAGGUAGGGCUGGGCUUUUCAUUGACCAUGGGUUGGAAUAGUUCUGUGGGCAUAGUGUGUCUUUGAAGCCACUAUGUUUUCUGCACUUGUGACUACAGAGCACCUUGAUAGCUCAGUUGGUAGAGCGGUGGACUGUAAGAUGCUCCUUGUGUGAAACGCCGUGAUCCUAAGGUCGCUGGUUCAACUCCAGCUCCAAGCACCUCCUUGUCAUUGGAAAUACCCCCAAGCCUUGUCUUUAUCUGUCAACUCCUCCAAAAUGUCAAAACACAAAGAAGAUAACUCUUUCUUAAAUUUUCAACCAUCAAUUUUUUAUUCACCCAGCCUAAAAGUCCUGAUUAUCAGUUCUGGGUCCCUGGCAAUGACUGUUGGGUACAAACUGCAAAGCUUUGUUCUGCGGAUAGGGCUGGGCUUUUCAUUGACCAUGGGUUGGAAUAGUUCUGUGGGCAUAGUGUGUCUUCGAAGCCACUAUGUUUUCUGCACUUGUGACUAGAGAGCACCUUGAUAGCUCAGUUGGUAGAGCGGUGGACUGUAAGAUGCUCCUUGUGUCAAACGCUGUGAUCCUAAGGUCGCUGGUUCAACUCCAGCUCCAAGCACCUCCUUGUCAUUGGAAAUACCCCAAAGCCUUGUCUUUAUCUGUCAACUCCUCCAAAAUGUCAAAACACAAAGAAGAUAACUCUUUCUUAAAUUUUCAACCAUCAAUUUUUUAUUCACCCAGCCUAAAAGUCCUGAUUAUCAGUUCUGGGUCCCUGGCAAUGACUGUUGGGUACAAACUGCAAAGCUUUGUUCUGCAGGUAGGGCUGGGCUUUUCAUUGACCAUGGGUUGGAAUAGUUCUGUGGGCAUAGUGUGUCUUCGAAGCCACUAUGUUUUCUGCACUUGUGACUAGAGAGCACCUUGAUAGCUCAGUUGGUAGAGCGGUGGACUGUAAGAUGCUCCUUGUGGGAAACGCCGUGAUCCUAAGUUCGCUGGUUCAACUCCAGCUCCAAGCACCUCCUUGUCAUUGGAAAUACCCCAAAGCCUUGUCUUUAUCUGUCAACUCCUCCAAAAUGUCAAAACACAAACAAGAUAACUCUUUCUUAAAUUUUCAACCAUCAAUUUUUUAUUCACCCAGACUAAAAGUCCUGAUUAUCAGUUCUGGGUCCCUGGCAAUGACUGUUGGGUACAAACUGCAAAGCUUUGUUCUGCAGGUAGGGCUGGGCUUUUAAUUGACCAUGGGUUGGAAUAGUUCUGUGGGCAUAGUGUGUCUUCGAAGCCACUAUGUUUUCUGCACUUGUGACUAGAGAGCACCUUGAUAGCUCAGUUGGUAGAGCGGUGAACUGUAAGAUGCUCCUUGUGUGAAACGCUGUGAUCCUCAGGUCGCUGGUUAAACUCCAGCUCCAAGCACCUCCUUGUCAUUGGAAAUACCCCCAAGCCUUGUCUUUAUCUGUCAACUCCUCCAAAAUGUCAAAACACAAAGAAGAUUACUCUUUCUUAAAUUUUCAACCAUCAAUUUUUUAUUCACCCAGCCUAAAAGUCCUGAUUAUCAGUUCUGGGUCCCUGGCAAUGACUGUUGGGUACAAACUGCAAAGCUUUGUUCUGCAGGUAGGGCUGGGCUUUUCAUUGACCAUGGGUUGGAAUAGUUCUGUGGGCAUAGUGUGUCUUCGAAGCCACUAUGUUUUCUGCACUUGUGACUAGAGAGCACCUUGAUAGCUCAGUUGGUAGAGCGGUGGACUGUAAGAUGCUCCUUGUGUGAAACGCUGUGAUCCUAAGGUCGCUGGUUCAACUCCAGCUCCAAGCACCUCCUUGUCAUUGGAAAUACCCCAAAGCCUUGUCUUUAUCUGUCAACUCCUCCAAAAUGUCAAAACACAAAGAAGAUAACUCUUUCUUAAAUUUUCAACCAUCAAUGUUUUAUUCACCCAGUCUAAAAGUCCUGAUUAUCAGUUCUGGGUCCCUGGCAAUGACUGUUGGGUACAAACUGCAAAGCUUUGUUCUGCAGGUAGGGCUGGGCUUUUCAUUGACCAUGGGUUGGAAUAGUUCUGUGGGCAUAGUGUGUCUUCGAAACCACUAUGUUUUCUGCACUUGUGACUAGAGAGCACUUUGAUAGCUCAGUUGGUAGAGCGGUGCACUGUAAGAUGCUCCUUGUGUGAAACGCUGUGAUCCUAAGGUCGCUGGUUCAACUCCAGCUCCAAGCACCUCCUUGUCAUUGGAAAUACCCCCAAGCCUUGUCUUUAUCUGUCAACUCCUCCAAAAUGUCAAAACACAAAGAAGAUAACUCUUUCUUAAAUUUUCAACCAUCAAUGUUUUAUUCACCCAGCCUAAAAGUCCUGAUUAUCAGUUCUGGGUCCCUGGCAAUGACUGUUGGGUACAAACUGCAAAGCUUUGUUCUGCAGGUAGGGCUGGGCUUUUCAUUGACCAUGGGUUGGAAUAGUUCUGUGGGCAUAGUGUGUCUUCGAAGCCACUAUGUUUUCUGCACUUGCGACUAGAGAGCACCUUGAUAGAGAGCGGUGGACUGUAAGAUGCUCCUUGUGUGAAACGCUGUGAUCCUAAGGUCGCUGGUUCAACUCCAGCUCCAAGCACCUCCUUGUCAUUGGAAAUACCCCCAAGCCUUGUCUUUAUCUGUCAACUCCUCCAAAAUGUCAAAACACAAAGAAGAUAACUCUUUCUUAAAUUUUCAACCAUCAAUGUUUUAUUCACCCAGCCUAAAAGUCCUGAUUAUCAGUUCUGGGUCCCUGGCAAUGACUGUUGGGUACAAACUGCAAAGCUUUGUUCUGCAGGUAGGGCUGGGCUUUUCAUUGACCAUGGGUUGGAAUAGUUCUGUGGGCAUAGUGUGUCUUCGAGGCCACUAUGUUUUCUGCACUUGUGACUAGAGAGCACCUUGAUAGCUCAGUUGGUAGAGCGGUGGACUGUAAGAUGCUCCUUGUGUGAAACGCUGUGAUCCUAAGUUCGCUGGUUCAACUCCAGCUCCAAGCACCUCCUUGUCAUUGGAAAUACCCCCAAGCCUUUUCUUUAUCUGUCAACUCCUCCAAAAUGUCAAAACACAAAGAAGAUAACUCUUUCUUAAAUUUUCAACCAUCAAUGUUUUAUUCACCCAGUCUAAAAGUCCUGAUUAUAAGUUCUGGGUCCCUGGCAAUGACUGUUGGGUACAAACUGCAAAGCUUUGUUCUGCAGGUAGGGCUGGGCUUUUCAUUGACCAUGGGUUGGAAUAGUUCUGUGGGCAUAGUGUGUCUUCGAAGCCACUAUGUUUUCUGCACUUGUGACUAGAGAGCACUUUGAUAGCUCAGUUGGUAGAGCGGUGCACUGUAAGAUGCUCCUUGUGUGAAACGCUGUGAUCCUAAGUUCGCUGGUUCAACUCCAGCUCCAAGCACCUCCUUGUCAUUGGAAAUACCCCCAAGCCUUUUCUUUAUCUGUCAACUCCUCCAAAAUGUCAAAACACAAAGAAGAUAACUCUUUCUUAAAUUUUCAACCAUCAAUGUUUUAUUCACCCAGUCUAAAAGUCCUGAUUAUAAGUUCUGGGUCCCUGGCAAUGACUGUUGGGUACAAACUGCAAAGCUUUGUUCUGCAGGUAGGGCUGGGCUUUUCAUUGACCAUGGGUUGGAAUAGUUCUGUGGGCAUAGUGUGUCUUCGAAGCCACUAUGUUUUCUGCACUUGUGACUAGAGAGCACUUUGAUAGCUCAGUUGGUAGAGCGGUGCACUGUAAGAUGCUCCUUGUGUGAAACGCUGUGAUCCUAAGUUCGCUGGUUCAACUCCAGCUCCAAGCACCUCCUUGUCAUUGGAAAUACCCCCAAGCCUUGUCUUUAUCUGUCAACUCCUCCAAAAUGUCAAAACACAAAGAAGAUAACUCUUUCUUAAAUUUUCAACCAUCAAUGUUUUAUUCACCCAGUCUAAAAGUCCUGAUUAUCAGUUCUGGGUCCCUGGCAAUGACUGUUGGGUACAAACUGCAAAGCUUUGUUCUGCAGGUAGGGCUGGGCUUUUCAUUGACCAUGGGUUGGAAUAGUUCUGUGGGCAUAGUGUGUCUUCGAAGCCACUAUGUUUUCUGCACUUGUGACUAGAGAGCACCUUGAUAGCUCAGUUGGUAGAGCGGUUGACUGUAAGAUGCUCCUUGUGUGAAACGCUGUGAUCCUAAGGUCGCUGGUUCAACUCCAGCUCCAAGCACCUCCUUGUCAUUGGAAAUACCCCCAAGCCUUGUCUUUAUCUGUCAACUCCUCCAAAAUGUCAAAACACAAAGAAGAUAACUCUUUCUUAAAUUUUCAACCAUCAAUGUUUUAUUCACCCAGUCUAAAAGUCCUGAUUAUCAGUUCUGGGUCCCUGGCAAUGACUGUUGGGUACAAACUGCAAAGCUUUGUUCUGCAGGUAGGGCUGGGCUUUUCAUUGACCAUGGGUUGGAAUAGUUCUGUGGGCAUAGUGUGUCUUCGAAGUCACUAUGUUUUCUGCACUUGUGACUAGAGAGCACCUUGAUAGCUCAGUUGGUAGAGCGGUGGACUGUAAGAUGCUCCUUGUGUGAAACGCUGUGAUCCUAAGGUCGCUGGUUCAACUCCAGCUCCAAGCACCUCCUUGUCAUUGGAAAUACCCCCAAGCCUUGUCUUUAUCUGUCAACUCCUCCAAAAUGUCAAAACACAAAGAAGAUAACUCUUGCUUAAAUUUUCAACCAUCAAUGUUUUAUUCACCCAGCCUAAAAGUCCUGAUUAUCAGUUCUGGGUCCCUGGCAAUGACUGUUGGGUACAAACUGCAAAGCUUUGUUCUGCAGGUAGGGCUGGGCUUUUCAUUGACCAUGGGUUGGAAUAGUUCUGUGGGCAUAGUGUGUCUUCGAAGCCACUAUGUUUUCUGCACUUGUGACUAGAGAGCACCUUGAUAGCUCAGUUGGUAGAGCGGUGGACUGUAAGAUGCUCCUUGUGUGAAACGCUGUGAUCCUAAGGUCGCUGGUUCAACUCCAGCUCCAAGCACCUCCUUGUCAUUGGAAAUACCCCCAAGCCUUGUCUUUAUCUGUCAACUCCUCCAAAAUGUCAAAACACAAAGAAGAUAACUCUUGCUUAAAUUUUCAACCAUCAAUGUUUUAUUCACCCAGCCUAAAAGUCCUGAUUAUCAGUUCUGGGUCCCUGGCAAUGACUGUUGGGUACAAACUGCAAAGCUUUGUUCUGCAGGUAGGGCUGGGCUUUUCAUUGACCAUGGGUUGGAAUAGUUCUGUGGGCAUAGUGUGUCUUCGAAGCCACUAUGUUUUCUGCACUUGUGACUAGAGAGCACCUUGAUAGCUCAGUUGGUAGAGCGGUGGACUGUAAGAUGCUCCUUGUGUGAAACGCUGUGAUCCUAAGGUCGCUGGUUCAACUCCAGCUCCAAGCACCUCCUUGUCAUUGGAAAUACCCCCAAGCCUUGUCUUUAUCUGUCAACUCCUCCAAAAUGUCAAAACACAAAGAAGAUAACUCUUUCUUAAAUUUUCAACCAUCAAUGUUUUAUUCACCCAGCCUAAAAGUCCUGAUUAUCAGUUCUGGGUCCCUGGCAAUGACUGUUGGGUACAAACUGCAAAGCUUUGUUCUGCAGGUAGGGCUGGGCUUUUCAUUGACCAUGGGUUGGAAUAGUUCUGUGGGCAUAGUGUGUCUUCGAAGCCACUAUGUUUUCUGCACUUGUGACUAGAGAGCACCUUGAUAGCUCAGUCGUUAGAGCGGUGGACUGUAAGAUGCUCCUUGUGUCAAACGCAGUGAUCCUAAGGUCGCUGGUUCAACUCCAGCUCCAAGCACCUCCUUGUCAUUGGAAAUACCCCCAAGCCUUGUCUUUAUCUGUCAACUCCUCCAAAAUGUCAAAACACAAACAAGAUAACUCUUUCUUAAAUUUUCAACCAUCAAUUUUUUAUUCACCCAGCCUAAAAGUCCUGAUUAUCAGUUCUGGCUCCCUGGCAAUGACUGUUGGGUACAAACUGCAAAUCUUUGUUCUGCAGGUAGGGCUGGGCUUUUCAUUGACCAUGGGUUGGAAUAGUUCUGUGGGCAUAGUGUGUCUUCGAAGCCACUAUGUUUUCUGCACUUGUGACUAGAGAGCACCUUGAUAGCUCAGUUGGUAGAGCGGUGGACUGUAAGAUGCUCCUUGUGUCAAACGCCGUGAUCCUAAGGUCGCUGGUUCAACUCCAUCUCCAAGCAGCUCCUUGUCAUUGGAAAUACCCCCAAGCCUUGUCUUUAUCUGUCAACUCCUCCAAAAUGUCAAAACACAAACAAGAUAACUCUUUCUUAAAUUUUCAACCAUCAAUUUUUUAUUCACCCAGCCUAAAAGUCCUGAUUAUCAGUUCUGGGUCCCUGGCAAUGACUGUUGGGUAAAAACUGCAAAGCUUUGUUCUGCAGGUAGGGCUGGGCUUUUCAUUGACCAUGGGUUGGAAUAGUUCUGUGGGCAUAGUGUGUCUUCGAAGCCACUAUGUUUUCUGCACUUGUGACUAGAGAGCACCUUGAUAGCUCAGUUGGUAGAGCGGUGGACUGUAAGAUGCUCCUUGUGUGAAACGCUGUGAUCCUAAGGUCGUUGGUUCAACUCCAGCUCCAAGCACCUCCUUGUCAUUGGAAAUACCCCCAAGCCUUGUCUUUAUCUGUCAACUCCUCCAAAAUGUCAAAACACAAAGAAGAUAACUCUUUCUUAAAUUUUCAACCAUCAAUUUUUUAUUCACCCAGCCUAAAAGUCCUGAUUAUCAGUUCUGGGUCCCUGGCAAUGACUGUUGGGUACAAACUGCAAAUCUUUGUUCUGCANNNNNNNNNNNNNNNNNNNNNNNNNNNNNNNNNNNNNNNNNNNNNNNNNNNNNNNNNNNNNNNNNNNNNNNNNNNNNNNNNNNNNNNNNNNNNNNNNNNNNNNNNNNNNNNNNNNNNNNNNNNNNNNNNNNNNNNNNNNNNNNNNNNNNNNNNNNNNNNNNNNNNNNNNNNNNNNNNNNNNNNNNNNNNNNNNNNNNNNNUCGAAGCCACUAUGUUUUCUGCACUUGUGACUAGAGAGCACCUUGAUAGCUCAGUUGGUAGAGCGGUGGACUGUAAGAUGCUCCUUGUGUGAAACGCUUCGUGAUCCUAAGGUCGCUGGUUCAACUCCAGCUCGGAAGCACCUCCUUGUCAUUGGAAAUACCUCCAAGCCUUGUCUUUAUCUGUCAACUCCUCCAAAAUGUAAAAACACAAACAAGAUAACUCUUUCUUAAAUUUUCAACCAUCAAUUUUUUAUUCACCCAGCCUAAAAGUCCUGAUUAUCAGUUCUGGGUCCCUGGCAAUGACUGUUGGGUACAAACUGCAAAGCUUUGUUCGUGCAGGUAGGGCUGGGCUUUUCAUUGACCAUGGGUUGGAAUAGUUCUGUGGGCAUAGUGUGUUUUCGAAGCCACUAUGUUUUCUGCACUUGUGACUAGAGAUCACCUUGAUAGCUCAGUUGGUAGAGCGGUGGACUGUAAGAUGCUCCUUGUGUGAAACGCCGUGAUCCUAAGCUCGCUGGUUCAACUCUAGCUCCAAGCACCUCCUUGUCAUUGGAAAUACCCCCAAGCCUUGUCUUUAUCUGUCAACUCCUCCAAAAUGUCAAAACACAAAGAAGAUAACUCUUUCUUAAAUUUUCAACCAUCAAUUUUUUAUUCACCCAGCCUAAAAGUCCUGAUUAUCAGUUCUGGGUCCCGGGCAAUGACUGUUGGGUACAAACUGCAAAGCUUUGUUCUGCAGGUAGGGCUGGGCUUUUCAUUGACCAUGGGUUGGAAUAGUUCUGUGGGCAUAGUGUGUCUUCGAAGCCACUAUGUUUUCUGCACUUGUGACUAGAGAGCACCUUGAUAGCUCAGUUGGUAGAGCGGUGGACUGUAAGAUGCUCCUUGUGUGAAACGCCGUGAUCCUAAGGUCGCUGGUUCAACUCCAGCUCGAAAGCACCUCCUUGUCAUUGGAAAUACCCCCCAAGCCUUGUCUUUAUCUGUCAACUCCUCCAAAAUGUCAAAACACAAAGAAGAUUACUCUUUCUUAAAUUUUCAACCAUCAAUUUUUUAUUCACCCAGCCUAAAAGUCCUGAUUAUCAGUUCUGGGUCCCUGGCAAUGACUGUUGGGUACAAACUGCAAAGCUUUGUUCUGCAGGUAGGGCUGGGCUUUUCAUUGACCAUGGGUUGGAAUAGUUCUGUGGGCAUAGUGUGUCUUCGAAGCCACUAUGUUUUCUGCACUUGUGACUAGAGAGCACCUUGAUAGCUCAGUUGGUAGAGCGGUGGACUGUAAGAUGCUCCUUGUGUGAAACGCCGUGAUCCUAAGGUCGCUGGUUCAACUCCAGCUCCAAGCACCUCCUUGUCAUUGGAAAUACCCCCAAGCCUUGUCUUUAUCUGUCAACUCCUCCAAAAUGUCAAAACACAAAGAAGAUAACUCUUUCUUAAAUUUUCAACCAUCAAUUUUUUAUUCACCCAGCCUAAAAGUCCUGAUUAUCAGUUCUGGGUCCCUGGCAAUGACUGUUGGGUACAAACUGCAAAGCUUUGUUCUGCAGGUAGGGCUGGGCUUUUCAUUGACCAUGGGUUGGAAUAGUUCUGUGGGCAUAGUGUGUCUUCGAAGCCACUAUGUUUUCUGCACUUGUGACUAGAGAACACCUUGAUAGCUCAGUUGGUAGAGCGGUGGACUGUAAGAUGCUCCUUGUGUGAAACGCCGUGAUCCUAAGGUCGCUGGUUCAACUCCAGCUCCAAGCACCUCCUUGUCAUUGGAAAUACCCCAAAGCCUUGUCUUUAUCUGUCAACUCCUCCAAAAUGUCAAAACACAAAGAAGAUAACUCUUUCUUAAAUUUUCAACCAUCAAUUUUUUAUUCACCCAGCCUAAAAGUCCUGAUUAUCAGUUCUGGGUCCCUGGCAAUGACUGUUGGGUACAAACUGCAAAGCUUUGUUCUGCAGGUAGGGCUGGGCUUUUCAUUGACCAUGGGUUGGAAUAGUUCUGUGGGCAUAGUGUGUCUUCGAAGCCACUAUGUUUUCUGCACUUGUGACUAGAGAGCACCUUGAUAGCUCAGUUGGUAGAGCGGUGGACUGUAAGAUGCUCCUUGUGUGAAACGCCGUGAUCCUAAGGUCGCUGGUUCAACUCCAGCUCCAAGCACCUCCUUGUCAUUGGAAAUACCCCCAAGCCUUGUCUUUAUCUGUCAACUCCUCCAAAAUGUCAAAACACAAAGAAGAUAACUCUUUCUUAAAUUUUCAACCAUCAAUUUUUUAUUCACCCAGCCUAAAAGUCCUGAUUAUCAGUUCUGGGUCCCUGGCAAUGACUGUUGGGUACAAACUGCAAAGCUUUGUUCUGCAGGUAGGGCUGGGCUUUUCAUUGACCAUGGGUUGGAAUAGUUCUGUGGGCAUAGUGUGUCUUCGAAGCCACUAUGUUUUCUGCACUUGUGACUAGAGAACACCUUGAUAGCUCAGUUGGUAGAGCGGUGGACUGUAAGAUGCUCCUUGUGUGAAACGCCGUGAUCCUAACGUCGCUGGUUCAACUCCAGCUCCAAGCACCUCCUUGUCAUUGGAAAUACCCCCAAGCCUUGUCUUUAUCUGUCAACUCCUCCAAAAUGUCAAAACACAAAGAAGAUAACUCUUUCUUAAAUUUUCAACCAUCAAUUUUUUAUUCACCCAGCCUAAAAGUCCUGAUUAUCAGUUCUGGGUCCCUGGCAAUGACUGUUGGGUACAAACUGCAAAGCUUUGUUCUGCAGGUAGGGCUGGGCUUUUCAUUGACCAUGGGUUGGAAUAGUUCUGUGGGCAUAGUGUGUCUUCGAAGCCACUAUGUUUUCUGCACUUGUGACUAGAGAGCACCUUGAUAGCUCAGUUGGUAGAGCGGUGGACUGUAAGAUGCUCCUUGUGUGAAACGCCGUGAUCCUAAGGUCGCUGGUUCAACUCCAGCUCCAAGCACCUCCUUGUCAUUGGAAAUACCCCCAAGCCUUGUCUUUAUCUGUCAACUCCUCCAAAAUGUCAAAACACAAAGAAGAUAACUCUUUCUUAAAUUUUCAACCAUCAAUUUUUUAUUCACCCAGCCUAAAAGUCCUGAUUAUCAGUUCUGGGUCCCUGGCAAUGACUGUUGGGUACAAACUGCAAAGCUUUGUUCUGCAGGUAGGGCUGGGCUUUUCAUUGACCAUGGGUUGGAAUAGUUCUGUGGGCAUAGUGUGUCUUCGAAGCCACUAUGUUUUCUGCACUUGUGACUAGAGAGCACCUUGAUAGCUCAGUUGGUAGAGCGGUGGACUGUAAGAUGCUCCUUGUGUGAAACGCCGUGAUCCUAAGCUCGCUGGUUCAACUCCAGCUCCAAGCACCUCCUUGUCAUUGGAAAUACCCCCAAGCCUUGUCUUUAUCUGUCAACUCCUCCAAAAUGUCAAAACACAAAGAAGAUAACUCUUUCUUAAAUUUUCAACCAUCAAUUUUUUAUUCACUCAGCCUAAAAGUCCUGAUUAUCAGUUCUGGGUCCCUGGCAAUGACUGUUGGGUACAAACUGCAAAGUUUUGUUCUGCAGGUAGGGCUGGGCUUUUCAUUGACCAUGGGUUGGAAUAGUUCUGUGGGCAUAGUGUGUCUUCGAAGCCACUAUGUUUUCUGCACUUGUGACUAGAGAGCACCUUGAUAGCUCAGUUGGUAGAGCGGUGGACUGUAAGAUGCUCCUUGUGUGAAACGCUGUGAUCCUAAAUUCGCUGGUUCAACUCCAGCUCCAAGCACCUCCUUGUCACUGGAAAUACCCCCAUGCCUUGUCUUUAUCUGUCAACUCCUCCAAAAUGUCAAAACACAAAGAAGAUAACUCUUUCUUAAAUUUUCAACCAUCAAUUUUUUAUUCACCCAGCCUAAAAGUCCUGAUUAUCAGUUCUGGGUCCCUGGCAAUGACUGUUGGGUACAAACUGCAAAGCUUUGUUCUGCAGGUAGGGCUGGGCUUUUCAUUGACCAUGGGUUGGAAUAGUUCUGUGGGCAUAGUGUGUCUUCGAAGCCACUAUGUUUUCUGCACUUGUGACUAGAGAGCACCUUGAUAGCUCAGUUGGUAGAGCGGUGGACUGUAAGAUGCUCCUUGUGUGAAACGCCGUGAUCCUAAGGUCGCUGGUUCAACUCCAGCUCCAAGCACCUCCUUGUCAUUGGAAAUACCCCCAAGCCUUGUCUUUAUCUGUCAACUCCUCCAAAAUGUCAAAACACAAAGAAGAUAACUCUUUCUUAAAUUUUCAACCAUCAAUUUUUUAUUCACCCAGCCUAAAAGUCCUGAUUAUCAGUUCUGGGUCCCUGGCAAUGACUGUUGGGUACAAACUGCAAAGCUUUGUUCUGCAGGUAGGGCUGGGCUUUUCAUUGACCAUGGGUUGGAAUAGUUCUGUGGGCAUAGUGUGUCUUCGAAGCCACUCUGUUUUCUGCACUUGUGACUAGAGAGCACCUUGAUAGCUCAGUUGGUAGAGCGGUGGACUGUAAGAUGCUCCUUGUGUGAAACGCUGUGAUCCUAAGGUCGCUGGUUCAACUCCAGCUCCAAGCACCUCCUUGUCAUUGGAAAUAACCCCAAGCCUUGUCUUUAUCUGUCAACUCCUCCAAAAUGUCAAAACACAAAGAAGAUAACUCUUUCUUAAAUUUUCAACCAUCAUUUUUUUAUUCACCCAGCCUAAAAGUCCUGAUUAUCAGUUCUGGGUCCCUGGCAAUGACUGUUGGGUACAAACUGCAAAGCUUUGUUCUGCAGGUAGGGCUGGGCUUUUCAUUGACCAUGGAUUGGAAUAGUUCUGUGGGCAUAGUGUGUCUUCGAAGCCACUCUGUUUUCUGCACUUGUGACUAGAGAUCACCUUGAUAGCUCAGUUGGUAGCGCGGUGGACUGUAAGAUGCUCCUUGUGUGAAACGCCGUGAUCCUAAGGUCGCUGGUUCAACUCCAGCUCCAAGCACCUCCUUGUCAUUGGAAAUACCUCCAAGCCUUGUCUUUAUCUGUCAACUCCUCCAAAAUGUCAAAACACAAAGAAGAUAACUCUUUCUUAAAUUUUCAACCAUCAUUUUUUUAUUCACCCAGCCUAAAAGUCCUGAUUAUCAGUUCUGGGUCCCUGGCAAUGACUGUUGGGUACAAACUGCAAAGCUUUGUUCUGCAGGUAGGGCUGGGCUUUUCAUUGACCAUGGGUUGGAAUAGUUCUGUGGGCAUAGUGUGUCUUCGAAGCCACUCUGUUUUCUGCACUUGUGACUAGAGAUCACCUUGAUAGCUCAGUUGGUAGCGCGGUGGACUGUAAGAUGCUCCUUGUGUGAAACGCCGUGAUCCUAAGGUCGCUGGUUCAACUCCAGCUCCAAGCACCUCCUUGUCAUUGGAAAUACCUCCAAGCCUUGUCUUUAUCUGUCAACUCCUCCAAAAUGUCAAAACACAAAGAAGAUAACUCUUUCUUAAAUUUUCAACCAUCAUUUUUUUAUUCACCCAGCCUAAAAGUCCUGAUUAUCAGUUCUGGGUCCCUGGCAAUGACUGUUGGGUACAAACUGCAAAGCUUUGUUCUGCAGGUAGGGCUGGGCUUUUCAUUGACCAUGGGUUGGAAUAGUUCUGUGGGCAUAGUGUGUCUUCGAAGCCACUCUGUUUUCUGCACUUGUGACUAGAGAUCACCUUGAUAGCUCAGUUGGUAGCGCGGUGGACUGUAAGAUGCUCCUUGUGUGAAACGCCGUGAUCCUAAGGUCGCUGGUUCAACUCCAGCUCCAAGCACCUCCUUGUCAUUGGAAAUACCUCCAAGCCUUGUCUUUAUCUGUCAACUCCUCCAAAAUGUCAAAACACAAAGAAGAUAACUCUUUCUUAAAUUUUCAACCAUCAUUUUUUUAUUCACCCAGCCUAAAAGUCCUGAUUAUCAGUUCUGGGUCCCUGGCAAUGACUGUUGGGUACAAACUGCAAAGCUUUGUUCUGCAGGUAGGGCUGGGCUUUUCAUUGACCAUGGGUUGGAAUAGUUCUGUGGGCAUAGUGUGUCUUCGAAGCCACUAUGUUUUCUGCACUUGUGACUAGAGAGCACCUUGAUAGCUCAGUUGGUAGAGCGGUGCACUGUAAGAUGCUCCUUGUGUGAAACGCCGUGAUCCUAAGGUCGCUGGUUCAACUCCAGCUCCAAGCACCUCCUUGUCAUUGGAAAUACCCCCAAGCCUUGUCUUUAUCUGUCAACUCCUCCAAAAUGUCAAAACACAAAGAAGAUAACUCUUUCUUAAAUUUUCAACCAUCAAUUUUUUAUUCACCCAGCCUAAAAGUCCUGAUUAUCAGUUCUGGGUCCCUGGCAAUGACUGUUGGGUACAAACUGCAAAGCUUUGUUCUGCAGGUAGGGCUGGGCUUUUCAUUGACCAUGGGUUGGAAUAGUUCUGUGGGCAUAGUGUGUCUUCGAAGCCACUAUGUUUUCUGCACUUGUGACUAGAGAGCACCUUGAUAGCUCAGUUGGUAGAGCGGUGGACUGUAAGAUGCUCCUUGUGUGAAACGCUGUGAUCCUAAGGUCGCUGGUUCAACUCCAGCUCCAAGCACCUCCUUGUCAUUGGAAAUACCCCCAAGCCUUGUCUUUAUCUGUCUACUCCUCCAAAAUGUCAAAACACAAAGAAGAUAACUCUUUCUUAAAUUUUCAACCAUCAAUUUUUUAUUCACCCAGCCUAAAAGUCCUGAUUAUCAGUUCUGGGUCCCUGGCAAUGACUGUUGGGUACAAACUGCAAAGCUUUGUUCUGCAGGUAGGGCUGGGCUUUUCAUUGACCAUGGGUUGGAAUAGUUCUGUGGGCAUAGUGUGUCUUCGAAGCCACUAUGUUUUCUGCACUUGUGACUAGAGAGCACCUUGAUAGCUCAGUUGGUAGAGCGGUGGACUGUAAGAUGCUCCUUGUGUGAAACGCCGUGAUCCUAAGGUCGCUGGUUCAACUCCAGCUCCAAGCACCUCCUUGUCAUUGGAAAUACCCCCAAGCCUUGUCUUUAUCUGUCAACUCCUCCAAAAUGUCAAAACACAAAGAAGAUAACUCUUUCUUAAAUUUUCAACCAUCAAUUUUUUAUUCACUCAGCCUAAAAGUCCUGAUUAUCAGUUCUGGGUCCCUGGCAAUGACUGUUGGGUACAAACUGCAAAGCUUUGUUCUGCAGGUAGGGCUGGGCUUUUCAUUGACCAUGGGUUGGAAUAGUUCUGUGGGCAUAGUGUGUCUUCGAAGCCACUAUGUUUUCUGCACUUGUGACUAGAGAGCACCUUGAUAGCUCAGUUGGUAGAGCGGUGGACUGUAAGAUGCUCCUUGUGUGAAACGCCGUGAUCCUAAGGUCGCUGGUUCAACUCCAGCUCCAAGCACCUCCUUGUCAUUGGAAAUACCCCCAAGCCUUGUCUUUAUCUGUCAACUCCUCCAAAAUGUCAAAACACAAAGAAGAUAACUCUUUCUUAAAUUUUCAACCAUCAAUUUUUUAUUCACCCAGCCUAAAAGUCCUGAUUAUCAGUUCUGGGUCCCUGGCAAUGACUGUUGGGUACAAACUGCAAAGCUUUGUUCUGCAGGUAGGGCUGGGCUUUUCAUUGACCAUGGGUUGGAAUAGUUCUGUGGGCAUAGUGUGUCUUCGAAGCCACUAUGUUUUCUGCACUUGUGACUAGAGAGCACCUUGAUAGCUCAGUUGGUAGAGCGGUGGACUGUAAGAUGCUCCUUGUGUGAAACGCCGUGAUCCUAAGGUCGCUGGUUCAACUCCAGCACCAAGCACCUCCUUGUCAUUGGAAAUACCCCCAAGCCUUGUCUUUAUCUGUCAACUCCUCCAAAAUGUCAAAACACAAAGAAGAAAACUCUUUCUUAAAUUUUCAACCAUCAAUUUUUUAUUCACCCAGCCUAAAAGUCCUGAUUAUCAGUUCUGGGUCCCUGGCAAUGACUGUUGGGUACAAACUGCAAAGCUUUGUUCUGCAGGUAGGGCUGGGCUUUUCAUUGACCAUGGGUUGGAAUAGUUCUGUGGGCAUAGUGUGUCUUCGAAGCCACUCUGUUUUCUGCACUUGUGACUAGAGAUCACCUUGAUAGCUCAGUUGGUAGAGCGGUGGACUGUAAGAUGCUCCUUGUGUGAAACGCCGUGAUCCUAAGCUCGCUGGUUCAACUCCAGCUCCAAGCACCUCCUUGUCAUUGGAAAUACCCCCAAGCCUUGUCUUUAUCUGUCAACUCCUCCAAAAUGUCAAAACACAAAGAAGAUAACUCUUUCCUAAAUUUUCAACCAUCAAUUUUUUAUUCACUCAGCCUAAAAGUCCUGAUUAUCAGUUCUGGGUCCCUGGCAAUGACUGUUGGGUACAAACUGCAAAGUUUUGUUCUGCAGGUAGGGCUGGGCUUUUCAUUGACCAUGGGUUGGAAUAGUUCUGUGGGCAUAGUGUGUCUUCGAAGCCACUAUGUUUUCUGCACUUGUGACUAGAGAGCACCUUGAUAGCUCAGUUGGUAGAGCGGUGGACUGUAAGAUGCUCCUUGUGUGAAACGCCGUGAUCCUAAGCUCGCUGGUUCAACUCCAGCUCCAAGCACCUCCUUGUCACUGGAAAUACCCCCAAGCCUUGUCUUUAUCUGUCAACUCCUCCAAUAUGUCAGAACACAAAGAAGAUAUCUCUUUCUUAAAUUUUCAACCAUCAAUUUUUUAUUCACUCAGCCUAAAAGUCCUGAUUAUCAGUUCUGGGUCCCUGGCAAUGACUGUUGGGUACAAACUGCAAAGCUUUGUUCUGCAGGUAGGGCUGGGCUUUUCAUUGACCAUGGGUUGGAAUAGUUCUGUGGGCAUAGUGUGUCUUCGAAGCCACUAUGUUUUCUGCACUUGUGACAAAAGAGCACCUUGAUAGCUCAGUUGGUAGAGCGGUGGACUGUAAGAUGCUCCUUGUGUGAAACGCUGUGAUCCUAAGGUCGCUGGUUCAACUCCAGCUCCAAGCACCUCCUUGUCAUUGGAAAUAACCCCAAGCCUUGUCUUUAUCUGUCAACUCCUCCAAAAUGUCAAAACACAAAGAAGAUAACUCUUUCUUAAAUUUUCAACCAUCAAUUUUUUAUUCACCCAGCCUAAAAGUCCUGAUUAUCAGUUCUGGGUCCCUGGCAAUGACUGUUGGGUACAAACUGCAAAGCUUUGUUCUGCAGGUAGGGCUGGGCUUUUCAUUGACCAUGGGUUGGAAUAGUUCUGUGGGCAUAGUGUGUCUUCGAAGCCACUCUGUUCUCUGCACUUGUGACUAGAGAGCACCUUGAUAGCUCAGUUGGUAGAGCGGUGGACUGUAAGAUGCUCCUUGUGUGAAACGCUGUGAUCCUAAGGUUGCUGGUUCAACUCCAGCUCCAAGCACCUCCUUGUCAUUGGAAAUAACCCCAAGCCUUGUCUUUAUCUGUCAACUCCUCCAAAAUGUCAAAACACAAAGAAGAUAACUCUUUCUUAAAUUUUCAACCAUCAAUUUUUUAUUCACUCAGCCUAAAAGUCCUGAUUAUCAGUUCUGGGUCCCUGGCAAUGACUGUUGGGUACAAACUGCAAAGCUUUGUUCUGCAGGUAGGGCUGGGCUUUUCAUUGACCAUGGGUUGGAAUAGUUCUGUGGGCAUAGUGUGUCUUCGAAGCCACUAUGUUUUCUGCACUUGUGACUAGAGAGCACCUUGAUAGCUCAGUUGGUAGAGCGGUGGACUGUAAGAUGCUCCUUGUGUGAAACGCCGUGAUCCUAAGGUCGCUGGUUCAACUCCAGCUCCAAGCACCUCCUUGUCAUUGGAAAUACCCCCAAGCCUUGUCUUUAUCUGUCAACUCCUCCAAAAUGUCAAAACACAAAGAAGAUAACUCUUUCUUAAAUUUUCAACCAUCAAUUUUUUAUUCACCCAGCCUAAAAGUCCUGAUUAUCAGUUCUGGGUCCCUGGCAAUGACUGUUGGGUACAAACUGCAAAGCUUUGUUCUGCAGGUAGGGCUGGGCUUUUCAUUGACCAUGGGUUGGAAUAGUUCUGUGGGCAUAGUGUGUCUUCGAAGCCACUAUGUUUUCUGCACUUGUGACUAGAGAGCACCUUGAUAGCUCAGUUGGUAGAGCGGUGGACUGUAAGAUGCUCCUUGUGUGAAACGCCGUGAUCCUAAGGUCGCUGGUUCAACUCCAGCACCAAGCACCUCCUUGUCAUUGGAAAUACCCCCAAGCCUUGUCUUUAUCUGUCAACUCCUCCAAAAUGUCAAAACACAAAGAAGAAAACUCUUUCUUAAAUUUUCAACCAUCAAUUUUUUAUUCACCCAGCCUAAAAGUCCUGAUUAUCAGUUCUGGGUCCCUGGCAAUGACUGUUGGGUACAAACUGCAAAGCUUUGUUCUGCAGGUAGGGCUGGGCUUUUCAUUGACCAUGGGUUGGAAUAGUUCUGUGGGCAUAGUGUGUCUUCGAAGCCACUCUGUUUUCUGCACUUGUGACUAGAGAUCACCUUGAUAGCUCAGUUGGUAGAGCGGUGGACUGUAAGAUGCUCCUUGUGUGAAACGCCGUGAUCCUAAGCUCGCUGGUUCAACUCCAGCUCCAAGCACCUCCUUGUCAUUGGAAAUACCCCCAAGCCUUGUCUUUAUCUGUCAACUCCUCCAAAAUGUCAAAACACAAAGAAGAUAACUCUUUCUUAAAUUUUCAACCAUCAAUUUUUUAUUCACUCAGCCUAAAAGUCCUGAUUAUCAGUUCUGGGUCCCUGGCAAUGACUGUUGGGUACAAACUGCAAAGUUUUGUUCUGCAGGUAGGGCUGGGCUUUUCAUUGACCAUGGGUUGGAAUAGUUCUGUGGGCAUAGUGUGUCUUCGAAGCCACUAUGUUUUCUGCACUUGUGACUAGAGAGCACCUUGAUAGCUCAGUUGGUAGAGCGGUGGACUGUAAGAUGCUCCUUGUGUGAAACGCCGUGAUCCUAAGCUCGCUGGUUCAACUCCAGCUCCAAGCACCUCCUUGUCACUGGAAAUACCCCCAAGCCUUGUCUUUAUCUGUCAACUCCUCCAAUAUGUCAAAACACAAAGAAGAUAUCUCUUUCUUAAAUUUUCAACCAUCAAUUUUUUAUUCACUCAGCCUAAAAGUCCUGAUUAUCAGUUCUGGGUCCCUGGCAAUGACUGUUGGGUACAAACUGCAAAGCUUUGUUCUGCAGGUAGGGCUGGGCUUUUCAUUGACCAUGGGUUGGAAUAGUUCUGUGGGCAUAGUGUGUCUUCGAAGCCACUAUGUUUUCUGCACUUGUGACUAGAGAGCACCUUGAUAGCUCAGUUGGUAGAGCGGUGGACUGUAAGAUGCUCCUUGUGUGAAACGCUGUGAUCCUAAGGUCGCUGGUUCAACUCCAGCUCCAAGCACCUCCUUGUCAUUGAAAAUACCCCCAAGCCUUGUCUUUAUCUGUCAACUCCUCCAAAAUGUCAAAACACAAAGAAGAUAACUCUUUCUUAAAUUUUCAACCAUCAAUUUUUUAUUCACCCAGCCUAAAAGUCCUGAUUAUCAGUUCUGGGUCCCUGGCAAUGACUGUUGGGUACAAACUGCAAAGCUUUGUUCUGCAGGUAGGGCUGGGCUUUUCAUUGACCAUGGGUUGGAAUAGUUCUGUGGGCAUAGUGUGUCUUCGAAGCCACUCUGUUUUCUGCACUUGUGACUAGAGAGCACCUUGAUAGCUCAGUUGGUAGAGCGGUGGACUGUAAGAUGCUCCUUGUGUGAAACGCUGUGAUCCUAAGGUCGCUGGUUCAACUCCAGCUCCAAGCACCUCCUUGUCAUUGGAAAUAACCCCAAGCCUUGUCUUUAUCUGUCAACUCCUCCAAAAUGUCAAAACACAAAGAAUAUAACUCUUUCUUAAAUUUUCAACCAUCAUUUUUUUAUUCACCCAGCCUAAAAGUCCUGAUUAUCAGUUCUGGGUCCCUGGCAAUGACUGUUGGGUACAAACUGCAAAGCUUUGUUCUGCAGGUAGGGCUGGGCUUUUCAUUGACCAUGGAUUGGAAUAGUUCUGUGGGCAUAGUGUGUCUUCGAAGCCACUCUGUUUUCUGCACUUGUGACUAGAGAUCACCUUGAUAGCUCAGUUGGUAGCGCGGUGGACUGUAAGAUGCUCCUUGUGUGAAACGCCGUGAUCCUAAGGUCGCUGGUUCAACUCCAGCUCCAAGCACCUCCUUGUCAUUGGAAAUACCUCCAAGCCUUGUCUUUAUCUGUCAACUCCUCCAAAAUGUCAAAACACAAAGAAGAUAACUCUUUCUUAAAUUUUCAACCAUCAUUUUUUUAUUCACCCAGCCUAAAAGUCCUGAUUAUCAGUUCUGGGUCCCUGGCAAUGACUGUUGGGUACAAACUGCAAAGCUUUGUUCUGCAGGUAGGGCUGGGCUUUUCAUUGACCAUGGGUUGGAAUAGUUCUGUGGGCAUAGUGUGUCUUCGAAGCCACUCUGUUUUCUGCACUUGUGACUAGAGAUCACCUUGAUAGCUCAGUUGGUAGCGCGGUGGACUGUAAGAUGCUCCUUGUGUGAAACGCCGUGAUCCUAAGGUCGCUGGUUCAACUCCAGCUCCAAGCACCUCCUUGUCAUUGGAAAUACCUCCAAGCCUUGUCUUUAUCUGUCAACUCCUCCAAAAUGUCAAAACACAAAGAAGAUAACUCUUUCUUAAAUUUUCAACCAUCAUUUUUUUAUUCACCCAGCCUAAAAGUCCUGAUUAUCAGUUCUGGGUCCCUGGCAAUGACUGUUGGGUACAAACUGCAAAGCUUUGUUCUGCAGGUAGGGCUGGGCUUUUCAUUGACCAUGGGUUGGAAUAGUUCUGUGGGCAUAGUGUGUCUUCGAAGCCACUCUGUUUUCUGCACUUGUGACUAGAGAUCACCUUGAUAGCUCAGUUGGUAGCGCGGUGGACUGUAAUAUGCUCCUUGUGUGAAACGCCGUGAUCCUAAGGUUGCUGGUUCAACUCCAGCUCCAAGCACCUCCUUGUCAUUCGAAAUACCUCCAAGCCUUGUCUUUAUCUGUCAACUCCUCCAAAAUGUCAAAACACAAAGAAGAUAACUCUUUCUUAAAUUUUCAACCAUCAUUUUUUUAUUCACCCAGCCUAAAAGUCCUGAUUAUCAGUUCUGGGUCCCUGGCAAUGACUGUUGGGUACAAACUGCAAAGCUUUGUUCUGCAGGUAGGGCUGGGCUUUUCAUUGACCAUGGGUUGGAAUAGUUCUGUGGGCAUAGUGUGUCUUCGAAGCCACUAUGUUUUCUGCACUUGUGACUAGAGAGCACCUUGAUAGCUCAGUUGGUAGAGCGGUGCACUGUAAGAUGCUCCUUGUGUGAAAUGCCGUGAUCCUAAGGUCGCUGGUUCAACUCCAGCUCCAAGCACCUCCUUGUCAUUGGAAAUACCCCCAAGCCUUGUCUUUAUCUGUCAACUCCUCCAAAAUGUCAAAACACAAAGAAGAUAACUCUUUCUUAAAUUUUCAACCAUCAAUUUUUUAUUCACCCAGCCUAAAAGUCCUGAUUAUCAGUUCUGGGUCCCUGGCAAUGACUGUUGGGUACAAACUGCAAAGCUUUGUUCUGCAGGUAGGGCUGGGCUUUUCAUUGACCAUGGGUUGGAAUAGUUCUGUGGGCAUAGUGUGUCUUCGAAGCCACUAUGUUUUCUGCACUCGUGACAAGAGAGCACCUUGAUAGCUCAGUUGGUAGAGCGGUGGACUGUAAGAUGCUCCUUGUGUGAAACGCUGUGAUCCUAAGGUCGCUGGUUCAACUCCAGCUCCAAGCACCUCCUUGUCAUUGGAAAUACCCCCAAGCCUUGUCUUUAUCUGUCUACUCCUCCAAAAUGUCAAAACACAAAGAAGAUAACUCUUUCUUAAAUUUUCAACCAUCAAUUUUUUAUUCACCCAGCCUAAAAGUCCUGAUUAUCAGUUCUGGGUCCCUGGCAAUGACUGUUGGGUACAAACUGCAAAGCUUUGUUCUGCAGGUAGGGCUGGGCUUUUCAUUGACCAUGGGUUGGAAUAGUUCUGUGGGCAUAGUGUGUCUUCGAAGCCACUAUGUUUUCUGCACUUGUGACUAGAGAGCACCUUGAUAGCUCAGUUGGUAGAGCGGUGGACUGUAAGAUGCUCCUUGUGUGAAACGCCGUGAUCCUAAGGUCGCUGGUUCAACUCCAGCUCCAAGCACCUCCUUGUCAUUGGAAAUACCCCCAAGCCUUGUCUUUAUCUGUCAACUCCUCCAAAAUGUCAAAACACAAAGAAGAUAACUCUUUCUUAAAUUUUCAACCAUCAAUUUUUUAUUCACUCAGCCUAAAAGUCCUGAUUAUCAGUUCUGGGUCCCUGGCAAUGACUGUUGGGUACAAACUGCAAAGCUUUGUUCUGCAGGUAGGGCUGGGCUUUUCAUUGACCAUGGGUUGGAAUAGUUCUGUGGGCAUAGUGUGUCUUCGAAGCCACUAUGUUUUCUGCACUUGUGACUAGAGAGCACCUUGAUAGCUCAGUUGGUAGAGCGGUGGACUGUAAGAUGCUCCUUGUGUGAAACGCCGUGAUCCUAAGGUCGCUGGUUCAACUCCAGCUCCAAGCACCUCCUUGUCAUUGGAAAUACCCCCAAGCCUUGUCUUUAUCUGUCAACUCCUCCAAAAUGUCAAAACACAAAGAAGAUAACUCUUUCUUAAAUUUUCAACCAUCAAUUUUUUAUUCACCCAGCCUAAAAGUCCUGAUUAUCAGUUCUGGGUCCCUGGCAAUGACUGUUGGGUACAAACUGCAAAGCUUUGUUCUGCAGGUAGGGCUGGGCUUUUCAUUGACCAUGGGUUGGAAUAGUUCUGUGGGCAUAGUGUGUCUUCGAAGCCACUAUGUUUUCUGCACUUGUGACUAGAGAGCACCUUGAUAGCUCAGUUGGUAGAGCGGUGGACUGUAAGAUGCUCCUUGUGUGAAACGCCGUGAUCCUAAGGUCGCUGGUUCAACUCCAGCACCAAGCACCUCCUUGUCAUUGGAAAUACCCCCAAGCCUUGUCUUUAUCUGUCAACUCCUCCAAAAUGUCAAAACACAAAGAAGAAAACUCUUUCUUAAAUUUUCAACCAUCAAUUUUUUAUUCACCCAGCCUAAAAGUCCUGAUUAUCAGUUCUGGGUCCCUGGCAAUGACUGUUGGGUACAAACUGCAAAGCUUUGUUCUGCAGGUAGGGCUGGGCUUUUCAUUGACCAUGGGUUGGAAUAGUUCUGUGGGCAUAGUGUGUCUUCGAAGCCACUAUGUUUUCUGCACUUGUGACUAGAGAGCACCUUGAUAGCUCAGUUGGUAGAGCGGUGGACUGUAAGAUGCUCCUUGUGUGAAACGCCGUGAUCCUAAGCUCGCUGGUUCAACUCCAGCUCCAAGCACCUCCUUGUCAUUGGAAAUACCCCCAAGCCUUGUCUUUAUCUGUCAACUCCUCCAAAAUGUCAAAACACAAAGAAGAUAACUCUUUCUUAAAUUUUCAACCAUCAAUUUUUUAUUCACUCAGCCUAAAAGUCCUGAUUAUCAGUUCUGGGUCCCUGGCAAUGACUGUUGGGUACAAACUGCAAAGUUUUGUUCUGCAGGUAGGGCUGGGCUUUUCAUUGACCAUGGGUUGGAAUAGUUCUGUGGGCAUAGUGUGUCUUCGAAGCCACUAUGUUUUCUGCACUUGUGACUAGAGAGCACCUUGAUAGCUCAGUUGGUAGAGCGGUGGACUGUAAGAUGCUCCUUGUGUGAAACGCCGUGAUCCUAAGCUCGCUGGUUCAACUCCAGCUCCAAGCACCUCCUUGUCACUGGAAAUACCCCCAAGCCUUGUCUUUAUCUGUCAACUCCUCCAAUAUGUCAAAACACAAAGAAGAUAUCUCUUUCUUAAAUUUUCAACCAUCAAUUUUUUAUUCACUCAGCCUAAAAGUCCUGAUUAUCAGUUCUGGGUCCCUGGCAAUGACUGUUGGGUACAAACUGCAAAGCUUUGUUCUGCAGGUAGGGCUGGGCUUUUCAUUGACCAUGGGUUGGAAUAGUUCUGUGGGCAUAGUGUGUCUUCGAAGCCACUAUGUUUUCUGCACUUGUGACUAGAGAGCACCUUGAUAGCUCAGUUGGUAGAGCGGUGGACUGUAAGAUGCUCCUUGUGUGAAACGCUGUGAUCCUAAGGUCGCUGGUUCAUCUCCAGCUCCAAGCACCUCCUUGUCAUUGGAAAUACCCCCAAGCCUUGUCUUUAUCUGUCAACUCCUCCAAAAUGUCAAAACACAAAGAAGUUUACUCUUUCUUAAAUUUUCAACCAUCAAUUUUUUAUUCACUCAGCCUAAAAGUCCUGAUUAUCAGUUCUGGGUCCCUGGCAAUGACUGUUGGGUACAAACUGCAAAGCUUUGUUCUGCAGGUAGGGCUGGGCUUUUCAUUGACCAUGGGUUGGAAUAGUUCUGUGGGCAUAGUGUGUCUUCGAAGCCACUAUGUUUUCUGCACUUGUGACUAGAGCGCACCUUGAUAGCUCAGUUGGUAGAGCGGUGGACUGUAAGAUGCUCCUUGUGUGAAACGCUGUGAUCCUAAGGUCGCUGGUUCAACUCCAGCUCCAAGCACCUCCUUGUCAUUGGAAAUACCCCCAAGCCUUGUCUUUAUCUGUCAACUCCUCCAAAAUGUCAAAACACAAAGAAGAAAACUCUUUCUUAAAUUUUCAACCAUCAAUUUUUUAUUCACCCAGCCUAAAAGUCCUGAUUAUCAGUUCUGGGUCCCUGGCAAUGACUGUUGGGUACAAACUGCAAAGCUUUGUUCUGCAGGUAGGGCUGGGCUUUUCAUUGACCAUGGGUUGGAAUAGUUCUGUGGGCAUAGUGUGUCUUCGAAGCCACUAUGUUUUCUGCAAUUGUGACUAGAGAGCACCUUGAUAGCUCAGUUGGUAGAGCGGUGGACUGUAAGAUGCUCCUUGUGUGAAACGCUGUGAUCCUAAGGUCGCUGGUUCAACUCCAGCUCCAAGCACGUCCUUGUCAUUGGAAAUACCCCCAAGCCUUGUCUUUAUCUGUCAACUCCUCCAAAAUGUCAAAACACAAAGAAGAUAACUCUUUCUUAAAUUUUCAACCAUCAAUUUUUUAUUCACUCAGCCUAAAAGUCCUGAUUAUCAGUUCUGGGUCCCUGGCAAUGACUGUUGGGUACAAACUGCAAAGCUGUGUUCUGCAGGUAGGGCUGGGCUUUUCAUUGACCAUGGGUUGGAAUAGUUCUGUGGGCAUAGUGUGUCUUCGAAGCCACUAUGUUUUCUGCACUUGUGACUAGAGCGCACCUUGAUAGCUCAGUUGGUAGAGCGGUGGACUGUAAGAUGCUCCUUGUGUGAAACGCUGUGAUCCUAAGGUCGCUGGUUCAACUCCAGCUCCAAGCACCUCCUUGUCAUUGGAAAUACCCCCAAGCCUUGUCUUUAUCUGUCAACUCCUCCAAAAUGUCAAAACACAAAGAAUAUAACUCUUUCUUAAAUUUUCAACCAUCAAUUUUUUAUUCACCCAGCCUAAAAGUCCUGAUUAUCAGUUCUGGGUCCCUGGCAAUGACUGUUGGGUACAAACUGCAAAGCUUUGUUCUGCAGGUAGGGCUGGGCUUUUCAUUGACCAUGGGUUGGAAUAGUUCUGUGGGCAUAGUGUGUCUUCGAAGCCACUAUGUUUUCUGCACUUGUGACUAGAGAGCACCUUGAUAGCUCAGUUGGUAGAGCGGUGGACUGUAAGAUGCUCCUUGUGUGAAACGCCGUGAUCCUAAGCUCGCUGGUUCAACUCCAGCUCCAAGCACCUCCUUGUCAUUGGAAAUACCCCCAACCCUUGUCUUUAUCUGUCAACUCCUCCAAAAUGUCAAAACACAAAGAAGAUAACUCUUUCUUAAAUUUUCAACCAUCAAUUUUUUAUUCACUCAGCCUAAAAGUCCUGAUUAUCAGUUCUGGGUCCCUGGCAAUGACUGUUGGGUACAAACUGCAAAGCUUUGUUCUGCAGGUAGGGCUGGGCUUUUCAUUGACCAUGGGUUGGAAUAGUUCUGUGGGCAUAGUGUGUCUUCGAAGCCACUAUGUUUUCUGCACUUGUGACUAGAGAGCACCUUGAUAGCUCAGUUGGUAGAGCGGUGGACUGUAAGAUGCUCCUUGUGUGAAACGCUGUGAUCCUAAGGUCGCUGAUUCAACUCCAGCUCCAAGCACCUCCUUGUCAUUGGAAAUACCCCCAAGCCUUGUCUUUAUCUGUCAACUCCUCCAAAAUGUCAAAACACAAAGAAUAUAACUCUUUCUUGAAUUUUCAACCAUCAAUUUUUUAUUCACCCAGCCUAAAAGUCCUGAUUAUCAGUUCUGGGUCCCUGGCAAUGACUGUUGGGUACAAACUGCAAAGCUUUGUUCUGCAGGUAGGGCUGGGCUUUUCAUUGACCAUGGGUUGGAAUAGUUCUGUGGGCAUAGUGUGUCUUCGAAGCCACUAUGUUUUCUGCAAUUGUGACUAGAGAGCACCUUGAUAGCUCAGUUGGUAGAGCGGUGGACUGUAAGAUGCUCCUUGUGUGAAACGCUGUGAUCCUAAGGUCCCUGGUUCAACUCCAGCUCCAAGCACCUCCUUGUCAUUGGAAAUACCCCCAAGCCUUGUCUUUAUCUGUCAACUCCUCCAAAAUGUCAAAACACAAAGAAGAUAACUCUUUCUUAAAUUUUCAACCAUCAAUUUUUUAUUCACUCAGCCUAAAAGUCCUGAUUAUCAGUUCUGGGUCCCUGGCAAUGACUGUUGGGUACAAACUGCAAAGCUUUGUUCUGCAGGUAGGGCCGGGCUUUUCAUUGACCAUGGGUUGGAAUAGUUCUGUGGGCAUAGUGUGUCUUCGAAGCCACUAUGUUUUCUGCACUUGUGACUAGAGAGCACCUUGAUAGCUCAGUUGGUAGAGCGGUGGACUGUAAGAUGCUCCUUGUGUGAAACGCUGUGAUCCUAAGGUCGCUGGUUCAACUCCAGCUCCAAGCACCUCCUUGUCAUUGGAAAUACCCCCAAGCCUUGUCUUUAUCUGUCAACUCCUCCAAAAUGUCAAAACACAAAGAAUAUAACUCUUUCUUAAAUUUUCAACCAUCAAUUUUUUAUUCACCCAGCCUAAAAGUCCUGAUUAUCAGUUCUGGGUCCCUGGCAAUGACUGUUGGGUACAAACUGCAAAGCUUUGUUCUGCAGGUAGGGCUGGGCUUUUCAUUGACCAUGGGUUGGAAUAGUUCUGUGGGCAUAGUGUGUCUUCGAAGCCACUAUGUUUUCUGCACUUGUGACUAGAGAGCACCUUGAUAGCUCAGUUGGUAGAGCGGUGGACUGUAAGAUGCUCCCCGUGUGUGAAACGCCGUGAUCCUAAGCUCGCUGGUUCAACUCCAGCUCCAAGCACCUCCUUGUCAUUGGAAAUACCCCCAAGCCUUGUCUUUAUCUGUCAACUCCUCCAAAAUGUCAAAACACAAAGAAGAUAACUCUUUCUUAAAUUUUCAACCAUCAAUUUUUUAUUCACUCAGCCUAAAAGUCCUGAUUAUCAGUUCUGGGUCCCUGGCAAUGACUGUUGGGUACAAACUGCAAAGCUUUGUUCUGCAGGUAGGGCUGGGCUUUUCAUUGACCAUGGGUUGGAAUAGUUCUGUGGGCAUAGUGUGUCUUCGAAGCCACUAUGUUUUCUGCACUUGUGACUAGAGAGCACCUUGAUAGCUCAGUUGGUAGAGCGGUGGACUGUAAGAUGCUCCUUGUGUGAAACGCCGUGAUCCUAAGCUCGCUGGUUCAACUCCAGCUCCAAGCACCUCCUUGUCAUUGUAAAUACCCCCAAGCCUUGUCUUUAUGUGUCAACUCCUCCAAAAUGUCAAAACACAAAGAAGAUAACUCUUUCUUAAAUUUUCAACCAUCAAUUUUUUAUUCACCCAGCCUAAAAGUCCUGAUUAUCAGUUCUGGGUCCCUGGCAAUGACUGUUGGGUACAAACUGCAAAGCUGUGUUCUGCAGGUAGGGCUGGGCUUUUCAUUGACCAUGGGUUGGAAUAGUUCUGUGGGCAUAGUGUGUCUUCGAAGCCACUAUGUUUUCUGCACUUGUGACUAGAGCGCACCUUGAUAGCUCAGUUGGUAGAGCGGUGGACUGUAAGAUGCUCCUUGUGUGAAACGCUGUGAUCCUAAGGUCGCUGAUUCAACUCCAGCUCCAAGCACCUCCUUGUCAUUGUAAAUACCCCCAAACCUUGUCUUUAUGUGUCAACUCCUCCAAAAUGUCAAAACACAAAGAAGAUAACUCUUUCUUAAAUUUUCAACCAUCAAUUUUUUAUUCACCCAGCCUAAAAGUCCUGAUUAUCAGUUCUGGGUCCCUGGCAAUGACUGUUGGGUACAAACUGCAAAGCUUUGUUCUGCAGGUAGGGCUGGGCUUUUCAUUGACCAUGGGUUGGAAUAGUUCUGUGGGCAUAGUGUGUCUUCGAAGCCACUAUGUUUUCUGCACUUGUGACUAGAGAGCACCUUGAUAGCUCAGUUGGUAGAGCGGUGGACUGUAAGAUGCUCCUUGUGUGAAACGCCGUGAUCCUAAGCUCGCUGGUUCAACUCCAGCUCCAAGCACCUCCUUGUCAUUGGAAAUACCCCCAAGCCUUGUCUUUAUCUGUCAACUCCUCCAAAAUGUCAAAACACAAAGAAGAUAACUCUUUCUUAAAUUUUCAACCAUCAAUUUUUUAUUCACUCAGCCUAAAAGUCCUGAUUAUCAGUUCUGGGUCCCUGGCAAUGACUGUUGGGUACAAACUGCAAAGCUGUGUUCUGCAGGUAGGGCUGGGCUUUUCAUUGACCAUGGGUUGGAAUAGUUCUGUGGGCAUAGUGUGUCUUCGAAGCCACUAUGUUUUCUGCACUUGUGACUAGAGAGCACCUUGAUAGCUCAGUUGGUAGAGCGGUGGACUGUAAGAUGCUCCUUGUGUGAAACGCUGUGAUCCUAAGGUCGCUGAUUCAACUCCAGCUCCAAGCACCUCCUUGUCAUUGUAAAUACCCCCAAACCUUGUCUUUAUGUGUCAACUCCUCCAAAAUGUCAAAACACAAAGAAGAUAACUCUUUCUUAAAUUUUCAACCAUCAAUUUUUUAUUCACCCAGCCUAAAAGUCCUGAUUAUCAGUUCUGGGUCCCUGGCAAUGACUGUUGGGUACAAACUGCAAAGCUUUGUUCUGCAGGUAGGGCUGGGCUUUUCAUUGACCAUGGGUUGGAAUAGUUCUGUGGGCAUAGUGUGUCUUCGAAGCCACUAUGUUUUCUGCACUUGUGACUAGAGAGCACCUUGAUUGCUCAGUUGGUAGAGCGGUGGACUGUAAGAUGCUCCUUGUGUGAAACUCCGUGAUCCUAAGCUCGCUGGUUCAACUCCAGCUCCAAGCACCUCCUUGUCAUUGGAAAUACCCCCAAGCCUUGUCUUUAUCUGUCAACUCCUCCAAAAUGUCAAAACACAAAGAAUAUAACUCUUUCUUGAAUUUUCAACCAUCAAUUUUUUAUUCACCCAGCCUAAAAGUCCUGAUUAUCAGUUCUGGGUCCCUGGCAAUGACUGUUGGGUACAAACUGCAAAGCUUUGUUCUGCAGGUAGGGCUGGGCUUUUCAUUGACCAUGGGUUGGAAUAGUUCUGUGGGCAUAGUGUGUCUUCGAAGCCACUAUGUUUUCUGCAAUUGUGACUAGAGAGCACCUUGAUAGCUCAGUUGGUAGAGCAGUGGACUGUAAGAUGCUCCUUGUGUGAAACGCUGUGAUCCUAAGGUCGCUGGUUCAACUCCAGCUCCAAGCACCUCCUUGUCAUUGGAAAUACCCCCAAGCCUUGUCUUUAUCUGUCAACUCCUCCAAAAUGUCAAAACACAAAGAAGAUAACUCUUUCUUAAAUUUUCAACCAUCAAUUUUUUAUUCACUCAGCCUAAAAGUCCUGAUUAUCAGUUCUGGGUCCCUGGCAAUGACUGUUGGGUACAAACUGCAAAGCUUUGUUCUGCAGGUAGGGCUGGGCUUUUCAUUGACCAUGGGUUGGAAUAGUUCUGUGGGCAUAGUGUGUCUUCGAAGCCACUAUGUUUUCUGCACUUGUGACUAGAGAGCACCUUGAUAGCUCAGUUGGUAGAGCGGUGGACUGUAAGAUGCUCCUUGUGUGAAACGCUGUGAUCCUAAGGUCGCUGAUUCAACUCCAGCUCCAAGCACCUCCUUGUCAUUGGAAAUACCCCCAAGCCUUGUCUUUAUCUGUCAACUCCUCCAAAAUGUCAAAACACAAAGAAGAUAACUCUUUCUUAAAUUUUCAACCAUCAAUUUUUUAUUCACUCAGCCUAAAAGUCCUGAUUAUCAGUUCUGGGUCCCUGGCAAUGACUGUUGGGUACAAACUGCAAAGCUUUGUUCUGCAGGUAGGGCUGGGCUUUUCAUUGACCAUGGGUUGGAAUAGUUCUGUGGGCAUAGUGUGUCUUCGAAGCCACUAUGUUUUCUGCACUUGUGACUAGAGAGCACCUUGAUAGCUCAGUUGGUAGAGCGGUGGACUGUAAGAUGCUCCUUGUGUGAAACGCCGUGAUCCUAAGGUCGCUGGUUCAACUCCAGCUCCAAGCACCUCCUUGUCAUUGGAAAUACCCCCAAGCCUUGUCUUUAUCUGUCAACUCCUCCAAAAUGUCAAAACACAAAGAAGAUAACUCUUUCUUAAAUUUUCAACCAUCAAUUUUUUAUUCACCCAGCCUAAAAGUCCUGAUUAUCAGUUCUGGGUCCCUGGCAAUGACUGUUGGGUACAAACUGCAAAGCUUUGUUCUGCAGGUAGGGCUGGGCUUUUCAUUGACCAUGGGUUGGAAUAGUUCUGUGGGCAUAGUGUGUCUUUGAAGCCACUAUGUUUUCUGCACUUGUGACUAGAGAGCACCUUGAUAGCUCAGUUGGUAGAGCGGUGGACUGUAAGAUGCUCCUUGUGUGAAACGCUGUGAUCCUAAGGUCGCUGGUUCAACUCCAGCUCCAAGCACCUCCUUGUCAUUGGAAAUACCCCCAAGCCUUGUCUUUAUCUGUCAACUCCUCCAAAAUGUCAAAACACAAAGAAGAUAACUCUUUCUUAAAUUUUCAACCAUCAAUUUUUUAUUCACCCAGCCUAAAAGUCCUGAUUAUCAGUUCUGGGUCCCUGGCAAUGACUGUUGGGUACAAACUGCAAAGCUUUGUUCUGCAGGUAGGGCUGGGCUUUUCAUUGACCAUGGGUUGGAAUAGUUCUGUGGGCAUAGUGUGUCUUUGAAGCCACUAUGUUUUCUGCACUUGUGACUAGAGAGCACCUUGAUAGCUCAGUUGGUAGAGCGGUGGACUGUAAGAUGCUCCUUGUGUGAAACGCUGUGAUCCUAAGGUCGCUGGUUCAACUCCAGCUCCAAGCACCUCCUUGUCAUUGGAAAUACCCCCAAGCCUUGUCUUUAUCUGUCAACUCCUCCAAAAUGUCAAAACACAAAGAAGAUAACUCUUUCUUAAAUUUUCAACCAUCAAUUUUUUAUUCACCCAGCCUAAAAGUCCUGAUUAUCAGUUCUGGGUCCCUGGCAAUGACUGUUGGGUACAAACUGCAAAGCUUUGUUCUGCAGGUAGGGCUGGGCUUUUCAUUGACCAUGGGUUGGAAUAGUUCUGUGGGCAUAGUGUGUCUUCGAAGCCACUAUGUUUUCUGCACUUGUGACUAGAGAGCACCUUGAUAGCUCAGUUGGUAGAGCGGUGGACUGUAAGAUGCUCCUUGUGUGAAACGCCGUGAUCCUAAGGUCGCUGGUUCAACUCCAGCUCCAAGCACCUCCUUGUCAUUGGAAAUACCCCCAAGCCUUGUCUUUAUCUGUCAACUCCUCCAAAAUGUCAAAACACAAAGAAGAUAACUCUUUCUUAAAUUUUCAACCAUCAAUUUUUUAUUCACUCAGCCUAAAAGUCCUGAUUAUCAGUUCUGGGUCCCUGGCAAUGACUGUUGGGUACAAACUGCAAAGCUUUGUUCUGCAGGUAGGGCUGGGCUUUUCAUUGACCAUGGGUUGGAAUAGUUCUGUGGGCAUAGUGUGUCUUCGAAGCCACUAUGUUUUCUGCACUUGUGACUAGAGAGCACCUUGAUAGCUCAGUUGGUAGAGCGGUGGACUGUAAGAUGCUCCUUGUGUGAAACGCUGUGAUCCUAAGGUCGCUGGUUCAACUCCAGCUCCAAGCACCUCCUUGUCAUUGGAAAUACCCCCAAGCCUUGUCUUUAUCUGUCAACUCCUCCAAAAUGUCAAAACACAAAGAAGAUAACUCUUUCUUAAAUUUUCAACCAUCAAUUUUUUAUUCACUCAGCCUAAAAGUCCUGAUUAUCAGUUCUGGGUCCCUGGCAAUGACUGUUGGGUACAAACUGCAAAGCUUUGUUCUGCAGGUAGGGCUGGGCUUUUCAUUGACCAUGGGUUGGAAUAGUUCUGUGGGCAUAGUGUGUCUUCGAAGCCACUAUGUUUUCUGCACUUGUGACUAGAGAGCACCUUGAUAGCUCAGUUGGUAGAGCGGUGGACUGUAAGAUGCUCCUUGUGUGAAACGCUGUGAUCCUAAGGUCGCUGGUUCAACUCCAGCUCCAAGCACCUCCUUGUCAUUGGAAAUACCCCCAAGCCUUGUCUUUAUCUGUCAACUCCUCCAAAAUGUCAAAACACAAAGAAGAUAACUCUUUCUUAAAUUUUCAACCAUCAAUUUUUUAUUCACCCAGCCUAAAAGUCCUGAUUAUCAGUUCUGGGUCCCUGGCAAUGACUGUUGGGUACAAACUGCAAAGCUUUGUUCUGCAGGUAGGGCUGGGCUUUUCAUUGACCAUGGGUUGGAAUAGUUCUGUGGGCAUAGUGUGUCUUUGAAGCCACUAUGUUUUCUGCACUUGUGACUAGAGAGCACCUUGAUAGCUCAGUUGGUAGAGCGGUGGACUGUAAGAUGCUCCUUGUGUGAAACGCCGUGAUCCUAAGCUCGCUGGUUCAACUCCAGCUCCAAGCACCUCCUUGUCAUUGGAAAUACCCCCAAGCCUUGUCUUUAUCUGUCAACUCCUCCAAAAUGUCAAAACACAAAGAAGAUAACUCUUUCUUAAAUUUUCAACCAUCAAUUUUUUAUUCACCCAGCCUAAAAGUCCUGAUUAUCAGUUCUGGGUCCCUGGCAAUGACUGUUGGGUACAAACUGCAAAGCUUUGUUCUGCAGGUAGGGCUGGGCUUUUCAUUGACCAUGGGUUGGAAUAGUUCUGUGGGCAUAGUGUGUCUUCGAAGCCACUAUGUUUUCUGCACUUGUGACUAGAGAGCACCUUGAUAGCUCAGUUGGUAGAGCGGUGGACUGUAAGAUGCUCCUUGUGUGAAACGCCGUGAUCCUAAGCUCGCUGGUUCAACUCCAGCUCCAAGCACCUCCUUGUCAUUGGAAAUACCCCCAAGCCUUGUCUUUAUCUGUCAACUCCUCCAAAAUGUCAAAACACAAAGAAGACAACUCUUUCUUAAAUUUUCAACCAUCAAUUUUUUAUUCACCCAGCCUAAAAGUCCUGAUUAUCAGUUCUGGGUCCCUGGCAAUGACUGUUGGGUACAAACUGCAAAGCUUUGUUCUGCAGGUAGGGCUGGGCUUUUCAUUGACCAUGGGUUGGAAUAGUUCUGUGGGCAUAGUGUGUCUUCGAAGCCACUAUGUUUUCUGCACUUGUGACUAGAGAGCACCUUGAUAGCUCAGUUGGUAGAGCGGUGGACUGUAAGAUGCUCCUUGUGUGAAACGCUGUGAUCCUAAGGUCGCUGGUUCAACUCCAGCUCCAAGCACCUCCUUGUCAUUGGAAAUACCCCCAAGCCUUGUCUUUAUCUGUCAACUCCUCCAAAAUGUCAAAACACAAAGAAGAUAACUCUUUCUUAAAUUUUCAACCAUCAAUUUUUUAUUCACUCAGCCUAAAAGUCCUGAUUAUCAGUUCUGGGUCCCUGGCAAUGACUGUUGGGUACAAACUGCAAAGCUUUGUUCUGCAGGUAGGGCUGGGCUUUUCAUUGACCAUGGGUUGGAAUAGUUCUGUGGGCAUAGUGUGUCUUCGAAGCCACUAUGUUUUCUGCACUUGUGACUAGAGAGCACCUUGAUAGCUCAGUUGGUAGAGCGGUGGACUGUAAGAUGCUCCUUGUGUGAAACGCUGUGAUCCUAAGGUCGCUGGUUCAACUCCAGCUCCAAGCACCUCCUUGUCAUUGGAAAUACCCCCAAGCCUUGUCUUUAUCUGUCAACUCCUCCAAAAUGUCAAAACACAAAGAAGAUAACUCUUUCUUAAAUUUUCAACCAUCAAUUUUUUAUUCACUCAGCCUAAAAGUCCUGAUUAUCAGUUCUGGGUCCCUGGCAAUGACUGUUGGGUACAAACUGCAAAGCUUUGUUCUGCAGGUAGGGCUGGGCUUUUCAUUGACCAUGGGUUGGAAUAGUUCUGUGGGCAUAGUGUGUCUUCGAAGCCACUAUGUUUUCUGCACUUGUGACUAGAGAGCACCUUGAUAGCUCAGUUGGUAGAGCGGUGGACUGUAAGAUGCUCCUUGUGUGAAACGCUGUGAUCCUAAGGUCGCUGGUUCAACUCCAGCUCCAAGCACCUCCUUGUCAUUGGAAAUACCCCCAAGCCUUGUCUUUAUCUGUCAACUCCUCCAAAAUGUCAAAACACAAAGAAGAUAACUCUUUCUUAAAUUUUCAACCAUCAAUUUUUUAUUCACUCAGCCUAAAAGUCCUGAUUAUCAGUUCUGGGUCCCUGGCAAUGACUGUUGGGUACAAACUGCAAAGCUUUGUUCUGCAGGUAGGGCUGGGCUUUUCAUUGACCAUGGGUUGGAAUAGUUCUGUGGGCAUAGUGUGUCUUCGAAGCCACUAUGUUUUCUGCACUUGUGACUAGAGAGCACCUUGAUAGCUCAGUUGGUAGAGCGGUGGACUGUAAGAUGCUCCUUGUGUGAAACGCUGUGAUCCUAAGGUCGCUGGUUCAACUCCAGCUCCAAGCACCUCCUUGUCAUUGGAAAUACCCCCAAGCCUUGUCUUUAUCUGUCAACUCCUCCAAAAUGUCAAAACACAAAGAAGAUAACUCUUUCUUAAAUUUUCAACCAUCAAUUUUUUAUUCACCCAGCCUAAAAGUCCUGAUUAUCAGUUCUGGGUCCCUGGCAAUGACUGUUGGGUACAAACUGCAAAGCUUUGUUCUGCAGGUAGGGCUGGGCUUUUCAUUGACCAUGGGUUGGAAUAGUUCUGUGGGCAUAGUGUGUCUUCGAAGCCACUAUGUUUUCUGCACUUGUGACUAGAGAGCACCUUGAUAGCUCAGUUGGUAGAGCGGUGGCCUGUAAGAUGCUCCUUGUGUGAAACGCUGUGAUCCUAAGGUCGCUGGUUCAACUCCAGCUCCAAGCACCUCCUUGUCAUUGGAAAUACCCCCAAGCCUUGUCUUUAUCUGUCAACUCCUCCAAAAUGUCAAAACACAAAGAAGAUAACUCUUUCUUAAAUUUUCAACCAUCAAUUUUUUAUUCACCCAGCCUAAAAGUCCUGAUUAUCAGUUCUGGGUCCCUGGCAAUGACUGUUGGGUACAAACUGCAAAGCUUUGUUCUGCAGGUAGGGCUGGGCUUUUCAUUGACCAUGGGUUGGAAUAGUUCUGUGGGCAUAGUGUGUCUUCGAAGCCACUAUGUUUUCUGCACUUGUGACUAGAGAGCACCUUGAUAGCUCAGUUGGUAGAGCGGUGGACUGUAAGAUGCUCCUUGUGUGAAACGCCGUGAUCCUAAGGUCGCUGGUUCAACUCCAGCUCCAAGCACCUCCUUGUCAUUGGAAAUACCCCCAAGCCUUGUCUUUAUCUGUCAACUCCUCCAAAAUGUCAAAACACAAAGAAGAUAACUCUUUCUUAAAUUUUCAACCAUCAAUUUUUUAUUCACUCAGCCUAAAAGUCCUGAUUAUCAGUUCUGGGUCCCUGGCAAUGACUGUUGGGUACAAACUGCAAAGCUUUGUUCUGCAGGUAGGGCUGGGCUUUUCAUUGACCAUGGGUUGGAAUAGUUCUGUGGGCAUAGUGUGUCUUCGAAGCCACUAUGUUUUCUGCACUUGUGACUAGAGAGCACCUUGAUAGCUCAGUUGGUAGAGCGGUGGACUGUAAGAUGCUCCUUGUGUGAAACGCUGUGAUCCUAAGGUCGCUGGUUCAACUCCAGCUCCAAGCACCUCCUUGUCAUUGGAAAUACCCCCAAGCCUUGUCUUUAUCUGUCAACUCCUCCAAAAUGUCAAAACACAAAGAAGAUAACUCUUUCUUAAAUUUUCAACCAUCAAUUUUUUAUUCACUCAGCCUAAAAGUCCUGAUUAUCAGUUCUGGGUCCCUGGCAAUGACUGUUGGGUACAAACUGCAAAGCUUUGUUCUGCAGGUAGGGCUGGGCUUUUCAUUGACCAUGGGUUGGAAUAGUUCUGUGGGCAUAGUGUGUCUUCGAAGCCACUAUGUUUUCUGCACUUGUGACUAGAGAGCACCUUGAUAGCUCAGUUGGUAGAGCGGUGGACUGUAAGAUGCUCCUUGUGUGAAACGCCGUGAUCCUAAGGUCGCUGGUUCAACUCCAGCUCCAAGCACCUCCUUGUCAUUGGAAAUACCCCCAAGCCUUGUCUUUAUCUGUCAACUCCUCCAAAAUGUCAAAACACAAACAAGAUAACUCUUUCUUAAAUUUUCAACCAUCAAUUUUUUAUUCACUCAGCCUAAAAGUCCUGAUUAUCAGUUCUGGGUCCCUGGCAAUGACUGUUGGGUACAAACUGCAAAGCUUUGUUCUGCAGGUAGGGCUGGGCUUUUCAUUGACCAUGGGUUGGAAUAGUUCUGUGGGCAUAGUGUGUCUUCGAAGCCACUAUGUUUUCUGCACUUGUGACUAGAGAGCACCUUGAUAGCUCAGUUGGUAGAGCGGUGGACUGUAAGAUGCUCCUUGUGUGAAACGCCGUGAUCCUAAGGUCGCUGGUUCAACUCCAGCUCCAAGCACCUCCUUGUCAUUGGAAAUACCCCCAAGCCUUGUCUUUAUCUGUCAACUCCUCCAAAAUGUCAAAACACAAACAAGAUAACUCUUUCUUAAAUUUUCAACCAUCAAUUUUUUAUUCACUCAGCCUAAAAGUCCUGAUUAUCAGUUCUGGGUCCCUGGCAAUGACUGUUGGGUACAAACUGCAAAGCUUUGUUCUGCAGGUAGGGCUGGGCUUUUCAUUGACCAUGGGUUGGAAUAGUUCUGUGGGCAUAGUGUGUCUUCGAAGCCACUAUGUUUUCUGCACUUGUGACUAGAGAGCACCUUGAUAGCUCAGUUGGUAGAGCGGUGGACUGUAAGAUGCUCCUUGUGUGAAACGCCGUGAUCCUAAGGUCGCUGGUUCAACUCCAGCUCCAAGCACCUCCUUGUCAUUGGAAAUACCCCCAAGCCUUGUCUUUAUCUGUCAACUCCUCCAAAAUGUCAAAACACAAACAAGAUAACUCUUUCUUAAAUUUUCAACCAUCAAUUUUUUAUUCACUCAGCCUAAAAGUCCUGAUUAUCAGUUCUGGGUCCCUGGCAAUGACUGUUGGGUACAAACUGCAAAGCUUUGUUCUGCAGGUAGGGCUGGGCUUUUCAUUGACCAUGGGUUGGAAUAGUUCUGUGGGCAUAGUGUGUCUUCGAAGCCACUAUGUUUUCUGCACUUGUGACUAGAGAGCACCUUGAUAGCUCAGUUGGUAGAGCGGUGGACUGUAAGAUGCUCCUUGUGUGAAACGCUGUGAUCCUAAGGUCGCUGGUUCAACUCCAGCUCCAAGCACCUCCUUGUCAUUGGAAAUACCCCCAAGCCUUGUCUUUAUCUGUCAACUCCUCCAAAAUGUCAAAACACAAACAAGAUAACUCUUUCUUAAAUUUUCAACCAUCAAUUUUUUAUUCACUCAGCCUAAAAGUCCUGAUUAUCAGUUCUGGGUCCCUGGCAAUGACUGUUGGGUACAAACUGCAAAGCUUUGUUCUGCAGGUAGGGCUGGGCUUUUCAUUGACCAUGGGUUGGAAUAGUUCUGUGGGCAUAGUGUGUCUUCGAAGCCACUAUGUUUUCUGCACUUGUGACUAGAGAGCACCUUGAUAGCUCAGUUGGUAGAGCGGUGGACUGUAAGAUGCUCCUUGUGUGAAACGCCGUGAUCCUAAGGUCGCUGGUUCAACUCCAGCUCCAAGCACCUCCUUGUCAUUGGAAAUACCCCCAAGCCUUGUCUUUAUCUGUCAACUCCUCCAAAAUGUCAAAACACAAAGAAGAUAACUCUUUCUUAAAUUUUCAACCAUCAAUUUUUUAUUCACUCAGCCUAAAAGUCCUGAUUAUCAGUUCUGGGUCCCUGGCAAUGACUGUUGGGUACAAACUGCAAAGCUUUGUUCUGCAGGUAGGGCUGGGCUUUUCAUUGACCAUGGGUUGGAAUAGUUCUGUGGGCAUAGUGUGUCUUCGAAGCC
rnacentral:lncRNA from 1 species